AUAUUACAUUUACCUCAACAUCCACGAUUAUUUGUUCCUUGUGUUUAUUGAAUAGAUCAUUGUCCCAUCUUGGAAUGUGUAAUGGGGCAAAUGUUGGUUUUUGUGCUAGAUCCCCAAGGUGUUGUCCAAGAACAGAGGCUGACCUUUCAUUUGGUACACCAUUUUCAUCGGUCCCUACAAUUACCUUUCCUCCUUGUAGUUUUGAUAAGUCUGAAACUCCAAAAUCUCCUAAAACUUGCCGUGCCUGUCCAUUUGACCCUACAUGUAUGAAAUUAUAUCAUUUGACAUUGUAUUUAGAUGUGUCAUGAAAAUAAAUAUCAAACUUACAUAUUAUCUUGAUUGGAGAUGCACGUCGGUUUGGCAUGCGUGCUAAUAUAUUGUCAACAUCUGGAGGACCUUGUAAAUUCUCCUCGAUCUCAUCGUCUGCCAAGUCAUCAGGCUGCUGCAGCUCCUGUCCUGCAUCUUGUGCUUCAAGGUUCAAGUUUCUUAACCUUCGAGGUCCCCUUGCCAUGAUUUCUACUGCAAAAGGAGCAGUUUACUUUUCUGCUCAACAAAAAGAUAACCAAAGAAAAGUUUCAAUGUUGAUUGCAAAUCACAUAGUACACUCAUAAGAUGUUGCACGGAUCCAAAUAAGGUGAAUGUAACAGAGAAAUCAUGGAGCCAAAUAAUUACUUCUACAUAAUGGGCUCAUUUGAUUCUAACAGAAUGACAACCAAAUAAAGAGAAGUCAUAGAGCCAAAUAAUUACUCCAAACAAAAUUGUGGAGCCAGAACUGCAUUAAGUCAUGCCCACAACAGCCCUUAACCUAGCAAUUUAGGAUAUAGGCAUUUUGAUUAACAGUUCACAUGCAAGUCAGAAUAAUAUACUCACUUCCAGAGCAGAAAUGUGGAUGGACAGAGUUGAAUAGCAUAGGACUACUGUAGGCACAUUUCUCUGGAAAAAGCACAUUUCUGUACUGCUUACUACAAACUGCAAAAAGGGUCCCCAAUAAUAAAGCCCACUAAAAGGAGAUUCAUCGAAGUAAAAGUUCUAUGAAAACUAAGAAGCCAAUUCCUAGUUUGCAUAUCCAUAUCAUUCGAGAGGCCUAUGAGUUUCCAUCUAAACAUUCAUCACUUAUACAAUCAUCAAUUAGGUCCAUCCAUGCUUUACUUGGUGUCAUAUAGUGUAUAUAUGAAUAACUAUAAGACUACGUGUGAGAAUAAAUAUGGAGUUGCAGAUUCCACAAUCUUUUAAAUUUUGACAAUAAAGAGGACUUUAUAAUAAAGAGUGAAUACAAACUGCCUUUAGGGUCGGAGGAUGCACUAUCGUCCAGAACACCCUACACCCUUCGCAACUGCAUGAAAAAAUACAGACCUAUCAGUAAUAAAGAGAGAAUACAUAAUGCCUUUUACAGGAACAUAGGAUGCAAUGCUCAGAACACCCUUCCCUCUACACAACAUCAGGUUAAAAGAAAAAGACUAUUAUCAACCAAAAUGUGUAAUUUUUUCUCUGCUAUAAGAUGGUUAUCAACAUACUAUAGCAGAGAUGUCUAUCAUUGACAUUGCAAAAUUAUGAAAUAAUUUGUAUCUUCAUCUGCUACACGUUCAGUUGUUUUACCCAGUAUCAGAUUAGUACAUCUACACAGUUGAACAAAGGGGCAUCAGAUCCUAAAGUGCCUAAUCAGGAUUAGGGAGAUGGGAAUCGAAGCUAACUCACCCACACAGUAGUAGUUGCCGACGACGAUGGGGCGACCACGGAAGUAGGAGUAGAGAAGGGCUCGUCGCCUCCUCCGGCCUGGUGACAGGCGCCGACGAACAGGGACGUGGGCAGCGGCGAUAUGAGAAGCAGGGAAGGUGUACAGAGAUGGCGACGGUAGGAGAUGCAGGGAUGAAAGGGCGGAUAGGGUGGGCGGGCGGCCGCCGCAGGAGGUGCCGGUGAAUGGCAAUAGGUACGCGGCUCUAGGAUCCCCGCAGCUUCAGGAUCCACACAGCUCUAGGAACCGUCCUUGCAGAUCGCAAGGCCCCUGGAGAGCAGAGCGCUGGACAAGGCAGAUAGAUAUAGGAUAUUUUCAUUUAUGUACCUACAAAAAAAUGAGGUUUGCGCCAAAAUCUGCAUUCAGCAUUUUUUUUAGCGCCAAAAUCUGCAUUCAGCAAUUUUUUAGCGCUAAAACAAAAAAAUUAGCAUGACCCACUCGCCUCCUACAAUUUUUAGCGCAAAAAAGAAAGUACAUAGUAGGAGGGAGACCAAAAUAAAAGAGGGAAAAGUUUUCUAAUACAUGAUAGAUGCGCUAUUUCUGUAAAUCUGACAAAAUAUUUUUGCUGGAUUUAUUUUCGAAAUACUAUUUUUGACAUAUGUUAACGAAACUCAAAUUUCUCUUAUUAAUCUCUCGCUAAAACAUAUAACUAGUCUUUCUCCCUUGUACUAAUUUCAAAUUUAAUGAUUUUUCUUCCUAAAAAUUUCUAAAAUCAUGUUGUAUCAAUUUAUUAUUUUCCUACAGCUAUUAUUUUAUCCAUAUUUUUAUGUGACCGUGUUUUAUCUAUUUGAAUUUUGAAUUUUAAAAAUAGCAACUUUAAACAUCAUUUUAAAAUAUUAAAUGAUUUUAGCUAAAAAAUCAUGAAUAUAAAACUUGCAGAACUCAUCAAGAUCUACAAUAUUUAUUUAGUUAUUUCUUCAUAUGAAAAAUGGGAGUAAUAUUGUUCAUAAAAUUUACAUAUCUCUCUUAUAGUUUCAUAAACUAUUAGAGAGGUAUGUAAAAUUUAUGAACAAUGUUACUACUAUUAUGUUCGAUGAAUAAAUGACCUAAAUAAAAGUUGUAGAUCUCAUAAAGUUGUAGAAAUUUCUAGUUGACAACUUUUCCAUUUAAAUUCAUUUUGUAAAUGAAAACUACAUUUGAAUUUCACUACUACAAUAAUCUUUAUUGGAAGCGGACAAAAACGAUUAACCGAGGCGGUUUUCAUAACCGCCUCGGAUCAAAGGUCAUGAUAAAUGACCUAUUUCCCAAGGCGGUUUGCUUCCCGCCUCCGUUAAUCAAACAAAAAAAGAAAAAAAAUCAAUAGACAAGCCCAGCGAGCCCAUCCACGGACUUGGUCGGGAGUGAGGGAGCCGCCGCCGCGACUCGGUCGGCAGGGAGCCGCCGCCUCUGCUUUGGGAGGAAGGACGUCGCCGCCACUGCUUUGGGAGGGAGGGCGCCGCUGCCGGUGUGCGAGGGGAGGGGCACUAGGUGCAGUCGUGCGAGAUGAGAGUGGGGAGGGUGCGGUUGUGCGAGAGAGGGAGGAGUGGGAGAGGGUCACGACUUGGAAAAUGCAAAGUCCAAAUACAAAACCCUUGGAGAUGCUCCAAGUAAACACCUUUAGCCUGCAUCCAUGAACGCUACAGUUUAUGCUUGGACCCUUGAGUUAUUUUUGCUAAUGUAAACAGCAAACUGACAUGUUAGCUAAUGUUUAUUGGAAGGUCAACUCAAAAAAGAAUUUGCAUGUAUCCUCCAUCUAGACGAUGUUGAGUUAACUAAAUAAAGGGUUUAGCUUCUCAGUGUAUGACACUAAUCGUGUAUUGCAGUGGUAACCUUUCCCUAAUCCUCUACAGGAAGUCCGGAGGUCAAAACCUCAAAGUCUAUAUUUUAUUUAUAUUUUAUUUUAAUAUUUGUUUCCAAAUUUGUAUCACGCUCAACAAUUCUAUAAUUUUCUCACUCAACGAGAUGAUUCAAAUGAAAGACACAUUUUUUUUCUAAAAUUUUCUAGUGCUCAACUAUUUCCAAAUUAAAUUCGCUGACGCAACAACUCAAGCAAAGAAAAUACAUGCUGCUUUCAUGCAAACUUUACAUAUAACUAGCCUCAAUUUCUCAUGUAAAUGAGUUUAUGUUUGUCAAAUAUAUUCUCAGGCAGACCACUAAAUAUAAAUGAAACUUCUUUAAAAAAACAUAUUACAAAUAAAACAGAUUCUAGCAGGCUACAGAAUCUCAUGCUCCUCGAUCCAUCUUGCAGAAACACAAUCCUCCACCAGCGUGAACAAGGGCAACAAAUACCCUCCUGCGUAGACAAAAGUAACCUGCAAACUGAACCACUCAAUUGUCCACUAUACUCUCAAAAAGAAGGCUGUUGUAUCUGUAUGCCAGUUAGUCUAAUUUGCUUCAUCUGCUGGCAGUUCAUCAUCACCCAUGUCAAAAUUAUCUCGUGCUUAACGCUUACCACAACAUUCCAUACUUCAGCUUUUGGGUCUUCAACAUAAAAGAUCUGCUCCACUUGUGAAGAAAACACAAAGGGAUCAUGCUCCAUUUUUUCCCCGGUGUGAAUUUUCCGAGAAAAAUUCACAUGUGUUAAUCCAAACUCAUCUUUUCGUAAACCAGCACGAUGAUGGACAUCAUACCAAUCACAUUUGAAAAGAACUACCUUGUAGUCGGUGUAUGUCAGUUCUAUUAUAUCUGAUAAUCUUCCAUAAUAAUUAACUCCAUCUUCUGCAAUGUUCACUACACCACUGUUUUGUGUCGACCUUGCAGCCUCACGACUCAAUGUGUGGAACCUGAAACCAUUAAUAAUAUAGCCGCUGUAUCUCACUCCAUGCCUACUUGGUUUUGCAGCCAAAGCUCGGACCAUUUUAGUGAUUCCUAGUCCAUCACCUAAGAUAACCUGCAUUGAAGAAAUUUAUUAGAUCAAUUCAUUCUAUUAGACUCAUGGCCCAAUAAUUUAUUUCAUAUGUACUGCACCUUUUGUUCUAACCAGUCAGCAAAGUGUUGGUCUAUCAACUUCUCAGUGGAAGCCAGAGUCAAAGUAGACGAAGGACACAAUUUUCCUUUCUCCUCAUCCACAAAUUCUCUACAACAAUGGGGUUAUUUGUUAUACAGUGUCAUGGAUUCAGAUUACUAAAACUUAAAAAUUGAGGCAGGGGGACUAUAUUACACACUUGCGGAAACCUUCAAGAUCAUCGCAGUGCCGCAACACGUAUCGAUGUGCCUGAACAAGAAACUGGAUAUCAAAUUGGCUUACAGUAGUAGCCUUUCCAAUUGGUUCUCCGGCACUCUCAAACAAGUACAUGUCUUUCAUAUUAUCUGAAGGUUCUGGGUUUCUGGCUGGUCUUGUAAAACGAGUAUUUCCAUCAAGAAAUCUAGAACAGAAGUUCAUGCACUCCUCCAUGCAAUAUCCUUCAGCAAUUGAACCUUCUGGGUGAGCUCUAUUCUUCACAAGCGCUUUAAGCCGAACAAAAAAUCUAAGUGAAAUCAUGAACACAUAUUAGUCAAACGAAUUAUUGACAAUAACACUGCAAUAUGUAAUUACAUACCUCUCCAUGGGGUACAUCCACCGGUAGUGAACAGGGCCACCAAGUUUAACUUCUUCUACCAAGUGCACCAUCAAGUGUACUGUCACAGUAAAAAAUGAUGGCAGGAAAAUUCUCUCCAUAUUACAUAGUGUUACCACAAUACUCUCUUGAAGGUUUUGUAGCUCAUCAGCAUCUAUCACCUUAGAGCAUAACUUCUUAAAGAAAUUAGAUAUUCGAAUAACUAUUUCCAUGACAUCUUUGCUGGGGUAACAGGAUCGGAGUGCCACUGGAAGGAUGUCAUGUAGUAAAACAUGAUAGUCAUGACUUUUUAGUCCACUCAAUGUACAAUCUUUCAUGUUAACACACCUAGAAAUGUUUGAUGCAUAGCCAUCAGGUGUUCUCAGGUUUUGGAUUACUGAACAGAGAAUCUCCUUUUUUUCUCUAGACAUGGUAAAAGGUGCAUCAGGCAUAGUUUGCUUUCCUUCAUUAUCUACCAUAGGAUGGAGAUUGUGUCGGAUUCCAAGUUCCACUAAAUCUAGUCGUGCUUUAAGACCAUCCUUUGAUUUGGAAGGAAUAUCCAAUAAAGUUCCAAUUAAGUUUUCACACAGAUUUUUCUCUAAAUGCAUCACAUCUAGAUUGUGCCUUAGUUUGUUCUUUUCCCAGUAUGGUAGCUCAAAGAAUAUUGACCGCUUUUUCAACCAAUCUUCUGGCUUCUUCUCCUUAUUCUUGCUACUGUCCCCAUCUUUCUGUUUCUUUUGUCCUCCUCUUUUACGCUUGGAUUUCUCAUGGCUUUCAUCUUGCUUUCCUUUCUUUUUUCCUUUGUUAUUAUCCUUUUUACUCUUUUUUGUGCGGUCCUUUUUCCCUAAAGCAAAAACUCUGCCUUCUAACAUUCUCAAAACAGAAGUACCACUCAUUGUUUCAGGUGCAAGACCAACCUCUGUCGUGCCAUCAAACUGGUUCUUUUGCUUUCGAUAUAUGUGGUUCUCUGGAAGCCAUCUACGAUGUCCCAUAUAGCACAUCUUUUUACCAUUCUUUAGGUGAAAUGAUUUUGUUGCCGCACCGCAUGAUGGGCAUGCAUAUUUACCACCUGUGCUCCAGCCAUACAGGUAAGCUAAUGCAGGAAAAUCAUUUAUAGUCCACAAUAGUGCAGCUCGGAGAGGAAAUUUCUUUCGAGAAGAGGCAUCACAUGUUUGCACUCCUUUCCACAAUUCUAAGAGUUCAUCAAUCAAGGGUUGCAAGUAUAUAUCAACAUCAUUCCCUGGAGAAUCUGGUCCUGGAAUGAUCAUGGACAACAGUAAAGAUGUUUGCUUCAUGCAGAUCCAAGGUGGCAAAUUGUAAGGAACUAGCAUUACAGGCCAUGUACUAUGCUUUGAACUCAUAUUCCGAAAAGGGUUAAAUCCAUCACUUGCAAGACCAAGGCGUACGUUACGAGCGUCUGAUGCAAAAUCAGGAUUUCUACGAUUAAAAUCUUCCCAAGCUUCAGCAUCUGCUGGAUGUCGCAGUUUUCCAUCUUUUGUACGUCCAACAUCAUGCCAUCGCAUGUCUUCUGAAGUUUUGGUAGUUGAAAAUAACCUUUGGAUCCUUGGUAUCAAUGGAAAAUAACGCAACACUUUUGCUGGUUUCUUUUUCUUCUUAGGCUUAGCUGCAGAACCAAUCUUCUUAGCAUCUUUCCAACGAGAGCUCUUGCACACAUCACAAAAAUCUUUCUUAGCUGCAUUUCCUCGGAAAAGCAUGCAAUCUUUGGGGCAAGCAUGUAUUUUCACAUAGUCAAGGCCUAAAGCACAGAUGAUUCUCUUCACUUGAUAAUAUGUCUUAGGUAGGUCUGCCUCAGGAGGAUAUGAAUCAGCUAGCACACCCAGAAGUGUCGUAAAUGAUUCUUGUGUCCAGCCAUUUAAGCACUUUAAGUGAUAUAAGUUGACCAAAAAUGACAACUUAGAAAAUUUGCACCCAGGAUAUAAGCUUGUGUGUGCAUCUUUCAAGUACCUUUCAUACAAAUUCUGUUCAUUCCCCUUAGCAUCGUCAUCAUCUGCAAGAUGCUCAUCCUCAGCUACCGAAUGUUCCAUAUCUGCAAAUCCUGAUUCAACAUCACCUACUUCACCUUCAGACAUACUUGGUACUGACCCUAACAUUUCAGCUCGGCAAAAGGCAGCUUCAAGUAGUUCUUGCAUGCCAUCUUGUACUGCAGCAGCCCUUGGGACACCCGAAGUGGGUAAGUUUGUAGUGUUAUUAGGAACGUCAACAAAUGCUAAUCGUGGACUGUCAUACAUUUCUCCAUGAUGAACCCAGGUUGUAUAACCUUGAACAAUACCAUCACAUCUCAAAUGCGUCCUGACUUCAUCAUGACUCUGGUUUAAUCUGUUUUUGCAUUUUUUGCAAGGACAAAGUAUCUCGCUAUCACGUGGAAUGUCAUGAUAAGCAAAAUUCAAAAAUUGCUCAACACCAUCUUGAUAUGCAGUAUCCUGUCUUGGCUUACUCAUCCAACUUCGAUCCAUCACCUUUUGACAAGAAUAAAAAUGAAAUAGAACCAAUCAAUGUUUUUCUUUUGCGAUACAUAUAGAUAUGUGAGGGACGGAUAAUAGUACUAGAUUUGCAUCAAAAAAGUCAUAUAUUUAUAUCUAAAUUUAGCCUCCUGGUUAAAAUUCACCUUGAAGCCCUCUUCUAAAUUCAACCGACACACUAAGAAAACUAUAGUUGCAAUAUAUAAGCAAUCUCAAAUUUAUAAAUAAAUAAAUAAGAUCAGCCCAAAACGUCAGUUAUCUGCAUAUGAGCAAAUUAAUUAAUUAAGAUCCUCCUUGCACCCCAUUGCUAGCAGUCUGCAGUCAUUUGGCAUAAUAAAAAUAUUUUAUCCUCGUAUCAUUGAAUCAUGGAUGGAACUCAUAUACUAAAUUGCUAACAACAUAUAGUGCCACCUAGGCAUCUCUAGUUUUCUGCAGUUCUAGGAUUAUAGAAAUUGCAGAAUUGAUCAACUUCACCAGUGGACUGUAGGCUAGAAUAGUAUACAAUGACAAUGACUCACUGGUUAUUGACAUUUGUUGCAUAUCUGAAAUCCAACACAGAACAAACAGAUUACUGCACAGAAUUUCUAUCCAGCUAGUACAACUAGUAAUAAAAAACAAAAUAAAAAUUCAUAUACAACUAGUAGUACACUAAAAGACAUAACAACAAAUUUCUAUCCAGCUAGUACCCCAUAGUGAAUCACAAUGCAAAAAUAGAGCACCUAAAGUAAAAUUAGUCACUGAAUAAUUUUGUGUUAUAUAUAUCUAAAUUAUAUUUGCGCAAAAUAUAGGAGAUCACACAACUAGCAACCAAAAGCAGCUAAUUCACCACAGCAACUAUCACAAAGGAAGAAAAUAUGCACCUCGGAACCGCACCGCCUAAGUCACGGUCGCGGGGUGCUGGCCUGCUAGGGGCUGGGGCCCAAGGGUUGCCUGGCCGUGCGCCCGUGCUGCGAUGGCUUGCUGGGGGCCGAGCCACCGAGGGACGCAGGGCUUGCUGCAAUCUGCGGUGCUGUGAUGGCCACCUGACCGUGCUGCUCACUAGGGAAAUGGAAAUCACCAGAAGGGGAAUCGCCUAGGAGCUGUCGAUCUGGUUAGUGGUUAUGGCCACCGGAUGGGACUAUGGGAGCAACAGCAGCUGGCUGCUGGCGGCUGGGUGGGAACCGUGGGAUGGGAGCAGCUGGCCGGCGCCUGGGUGCUAGUCUGCUGGAUCUCUGGGGACCGGGGUUAGGGUUAGCUAUUGCAAUAUACUAGUUGGGCUAGAUGUUGGACUGGACCUAACGUCUUGGGCCUCAGCAUCCAUGUUCUAUACAUUUGUAUCUAUUAGCGGAGCGGAUACGCGGGUUUCGGGUACGGUGACAAAGGGAACAUCCCCAAACCCGCGAGACCCGAUGGGGAGAGAAUUUUCCCCAUUAGUCUCUCCGUGGGGAACAAAUCUCUCCCAUCCCCGAUCCCCAAUGGAGGAAUUCAUCACGGGGAAUCGGGUUUCGGGUCCCUAUUGCCAUCUUGACUGACGAGGCAGCGCCCCAGCGUCGCCCCAGCGAGCCAACGCCCAAGCAGUCUGCGUCCCGGUGGCCUCGCCCCCGGCGUACCGCAUUCCCGGCAGACGACGCCCCAGCGAGUCACGCCCUCGACGGACCGUGCUCCGAUGCUCGCCGGUGCUCCCCUCUCCUUCGUGAUCCGGUGGCGUGGCACGCCAGCAGGGCUCCUACCUCGUCAGCGCUCCCUUUCUUCGCUCCCUGCCAUAGCGGUCAAGCCGUCGAGCGUCGUCGCAGCAGAUGUGCCACGACGUUCGCCUCCCCGCCAUCUAGGUCGCCGGCGCUCACACAUGUACCACUGCAACGCUCAGGCUUCGUGGCUGCAGCCCCUGCCGCUCCAUGGACAAGCUCGCUCGGUGGACUGUAAAAGAAUCUGUGAUGGACAGACUGCAAUGUGUUUGCAUAUUACUAUCAGACUGUAAUGUGACUGCAAUGUAUUAAUUUAGUAGAUUAAUAUAUGAACUUUCCUUGUAUUAUAGUGCUAGUGCUGCCAUCUAAAAUACCACAUGUUUGAGUUCCAAAUUAUUACUAGCACUAUAUUUUUGUGUUCUAUUUUAUGUCAUUAAUAUUCUAUAUUUUUGGGUUAUUUUUUAUGAUAUUAUAUUAUUAUAUACUAUAAGCUGGUCUGAAAGACACUUGAGGUAGAAUGUUAAUAAAAUUAUUUUUCAAAAUUUAAAAUUAAAUGUUAUGACAAUAUAAAUCAUAAAUACAAAUGUUAACUACAAAUUAGUAGAAAAAUAUGUACAAGAGGACUUACAUAUGUAACAGGUGUUAAUAAUUUUUACAUGCUACUGAUUGAUGACCAAGACAUAUUUAAUUUUGUUUCACUUUGAAAUGUUUUUAAUAUUGUAAAUCAUUUUUACAUGACUAAGUAUGAUUAUUAAUACACUUUGCAACGUAUAUAGAUUAUACUAACAGUUUAAAGCGUGUCUAACUUCAUGUUAUUUUGAGAUGACUUUAGUAUUGUAUCAAAAAACAUCUUUAAUUGUCCAUGGAACGUUCUAUGAUAUGCUUUGUAACGUGUCUACAAACUAUUGACGACUAAAAGCGUGUCUACCACCGUGUCAUUUUGAGACGUUUUCAAUAUCAUAUAAAAAAGUGUCUCCAGAUUCCUUUUGACACUAAAAGCGUGUCUAAUAUUGUGUCAUGAUGACACAUUCAUAAAAUCGUAUCAAAAAACAUGUUUACAUGACUAUGUAAAGACGACUUUAGUGUGCGUUACUACAAAAGCGUGCCUACAGGCACUUUUUCCUGUAGUGAGGUCAAGCCAUAUGCAAUGCAAACCAUGUGCACGCCAACCAAAAACCUCAGUUCCAUGCAUGCAGAGAGAGAGAGAGAGAGAGAGAGAGAGAGAGAGAGAGAGAGAGAGAGAGACCUGUGCUACGCCGCUCAGGUUUGUUGCGGCGACGUCGCUUUGCGACUGCAGGUCUGCAGCCUGCUACGUGCUUGGAGUAGUAUAUGGUUAUUCUUCUCGAGAAAGGAUUCAAUUUGAUUCCGUACCAUCCGUCACGUACGUUACCAGCCAUUUGUGUUAUAUUGAUCAGCCUGCGAGCAUCUUCACAUAUUGGUUGUUCCGGGUUUGGCGGCUGUCCAGGCUCUUUGCAGCCACGAUUAGAUUAUACAUACACUUUAUUGUGUUUAGUUAUCUUUUGUCGUUGGUCUAGUAUGAGAUGAGGUUGUAUUUGAUUGCACAUUGAUGCAGCAGAGUUUGACACGUGGGCUCCUGCAUCAUGCUUGCAUCUGGCCAUGAGAGAAAGCCCAAAUCGAGAUGAUAGGUGCUAGACAGGCAAACAAACAAAGAGCUCUAAAUGGUGUCGGACAAAGAGCUCCUGCAUCAUGUUAUAUUUUUACACUAUAGUUCUCAUCAUGCAAAAAAUUUUAUAGUAUAAUCUUCUACCACUUAUAUGAUUUUAUAUCUAUUUUGUAAUAAUGUUUGAUUAGACGUAGUGUCCGUCAGCAAAUUUAACAAAAAACAUAGUGUCUUUGAGCAAUCUAAUUUUUCCUAGGGUCCGCUGGCAAAUGACCACCAUUCUGCAUGUCCCACAGUCAAUUCUCCCAUGAAAAUAAUGACAUAUGGUAGCCCAUGAGGCACAAUUCAUUUAAUCUAAGCCCUAACUAUACUACUAGACUAGACUAGACGAUGGAGGUCCAUGCUCUUCUCAAUGCUCAAGGUAGAGUGCCUCAAAGGUGAAAGGCCAUCACCCCCUUCACUGCCAACACUUCUUUACAUUUAUUAGUUAUUCUAUAAUAUAGAUAUGCUAAUUAAAGUGAAAAGGAAGGUUUAUACUUGAUAGAAUGCUAAUCUUUUCUUUGCUCUAUGCAACUACUAAUUUCAAGUAAGAUAAAGAUAAUAAGAUAACAGACUAAAGUAGCAAAAAUUUCCUAUAACAUUGAUUUGUACUAAAAAAAGAUCUAUUGUGGGAUUUAUGGUUACUGCGAGUUGAUGACAGGACGAGUGGGCUCAGAAAGUAUAAAUCCCCAAAUCUCAAGUAACAACUCCAGCUUGAUCGAAGAUUAUGGAGAUCCUUUUUUUACUAGACAACCACCAUUGCUGUUUCAGUGGUUAUCCAUCGUCCUAUCUUACAAUAACUGGAUGGCCUAAGUGGCUAAGUGUAUGUGUUAAUUCUUAUUAGUUAGAAAAAUUAGAUUAUAGAAAUUCUCAUAAUUAUAAAGAUUUGGCCAUAAAUUUGGUAUAUCCUAAUCACCGUCAAUAAUAAUAGCCAAAUGGAUAUAUUCUAUUUUACUAAACAAAACACAAAGAGCAUCUCCAAGGGACUUUGCAAAUGAAUUUUGCAUUUGGUAUUGUUUGCAAAGUCACAAACUCAUUUGCAAAGUCAAAAAAUAGUGCAACUCCAAAGGACUUUGCAUUUAGACUUGGCAAAACCAAAGUGUGGACCCCACCCCCGAAUUUUUUUUUUCACCGAUCGCGCCCGCACGUUUUUUUCCCUUCGCGCCAUUUUGACGUACGUCGUGCGUGCCAGUCGUCGCCCAGGCCAGGUCGCCGCCAGUUGCCGCCCAGCCCAGGUCUUCGCGCCAAUGGCCGCCCAGCACAGGCCGCGUUCGUCGUUCGCCGCCGUCGUCGUUCGCGUCAGUUCGGCUCCGUCCUCCUCCGAGGGAGGCGGGCGCGCGCGGUAGGGAGGGCGGGCGCGCACGGCAAUUGGAGGGACGGCGGGCAUGCGCGACAGCUGGAGGGCGCGUGCGCGCGGCAGGGAGGGUGGACGGGCGUAGAGAAAUCGCGCGGGGUGGGGGGGGGGCGGGGGGACGGAGUCCGACGUGGAAGGCCGAAAUUGUAGAUGCAAAGUGGUGGGAAGGUUUGCAUAUAUGCAAAGUCUCAACCUCUAUUUGCAAAGUUAACCAAAUUGCAAACCUUAUUUGCAAAACCAUUGGAGGGGUAUUUUCUACUCUUUUUUGCAAAUAGGGCAAUGCAAAGUUUGUUUGCAAAGCCCUUGGAGAUGCAUAAAUUAACCUCUAAUUUGUAUAUAAAUCACCAACCUUGCCAUUAUAACCAAUAAGCUAGAAACACCACCAACCCCCCCCCCCCCCGCCCCCCCCCCCCCCCAAAAAAAAAACAUGCUUCGUCAAGCUAUCAUGUGCCAUUAAUGGAUGUUAACUGAAGAAGGCAUAACAUGCUUCGUUGGCACAACAAUAAAUCUUGAGAAUAUGUUAGGUAUAUCUUGGUGUGCUCAAAUAUAUCUCAAGAUGUAGAAGAUUAUCUUAUUAUGGAUAAUAUAUAUUAUGAUUCACUUUUGUGAGUUUUUAAUCAGCGAGAGGUUGGAUCUAUAGUAUCGAUGGUUGGAUGUAAAAUUCUUACAAAGUACAUUUCUUCUUUAUAUAAAAAUGAAGUUAUUGUCCUUCGGAGAGGGGAAAUGACUUGAUAAUAGUAGGACAAGGGGGAGAACUAGAUCGCCACGUUGUUUUCUUACCUAAAAAAUUAACCUCUUUGUGUAAUUGAAAUCACAGAUCACGAGGAUGCCAGUGCUAUGAUUUUGUUUCUCUAUUGGAAUAUAGUAAGCAUAUGCAUAUUAAAAGAAAGAAGAAAUCCAUAUAUAGUUCUUAUAGUUACGUCAUCAGUUGCUCAGUUUGGACUUUCGACCCUGCAUGUUUCAGAGAUGCACAACAUAGGUGGUAAAACUGAACAAGACGGAACAUGCUACUGAAGUACUGAUGCAUCGUUAUAUAUGGGGACAAAAAACAAUAAUUACACGAUAAAAAGCAACAUCAACACGAGGCGUGGUUGUGAUUUGUGAAGCAAAUCAGCAAGGCCUAGGCUACCCCGACCUAAGCUUCACUCAGGCCUUGUUUAGUUCUCAAAAAGUACCUAAAAAUUUUCAAGAUUUUCCGUCACAUCGAAUCUUGCGGCACAUACAUGAAACAUUAGAUAUAGAUAAAAACAAAAACUAAUUGCACAGUUCAACUGUAAAUCACGAGAUGAAUCUUGUAAACUUAGUUACUUCAUAAUUAGACAAUAUUUGUCAAAUAAAAAACGAAAAUGCUACAGAACCAAAAACAAAAGUUUUUGGAAACUGAACAAGGCCUCAAUCAAGCUCAAAACGGCCUUGUCUGGAUGGCUCGGUGCCCCAUCCAAAACAUGAGGUGGGCAUGGCUGGGCUGCAAAAUUGAACCAAAUACACCUAAAGCUUCACUGAAUCAAGCCCACGAAACACAACAAACAAAAUACUAUUUUUUUUCAAAAGGACAGCAAAAGAGGGUGUUUAGCUCGACUUCUCACGAGGGACUCCUCUAGACAAGCCAGAGCUAUUUUAAAGAAGUCAUAAUUUGUGAUUUUAUGGCUUCGUUAAAACAGCUUCGACUUCUCUCAGAGAAAAAAACGUUAGACAGACAAGCCAAGAGCCCUGCCAAACAGGUCCAAAGACUAUUUAAGGAGCGCAAGGCCGCCAAGAGCAAGCACCAGUACAAGAGUCAUCAGGGAAACCCACAGCACCGUCUUGCCGGCGGCGUGCCAGCCGUCCACAUCACAUGCACGGCACCACCCAGCAGCCGAAAGACGCCACGGCCAAAGAUCACUACCGCACUCAGGACGCCGUAGUAAAAGUACGCCGGCGUGCUGCCGUGCAGUCGGAGGAAGAUGCCUCCCGGGGCCUUGAAAACGAUGAGUCCAAGCGCCGCCGCGCUCAGGACGACGGCGGACGAGAUCAGCGCCGGGUCGCUUCUGGCCUCGACGAUCAGCUCCAUCGAUAUGCCCAGCUGGGACUCCAUUAAUUUCUCUGCUGCAGGUGCGUGGAUGCUGGAUUAUUCCAUGUGGUGAUCAGUGAGAGGCUGAUCGAGAGCUGAAGAGCGAGAGGUUUGCCAAAGGUUUUGGCGUCGAAAACAUAUAUAGCAGUGGCGAAACCUAACCCAUCUCUAAUGCAGUGACGGUGUUCUAAUAGUAGUAAAACAAUUUUAUUGCACCAAUAGCAUGUAGAGUCAUGACAGCAACGAAAAAGGGAAUAAUAAACUAGCUAGAAACACAUCUAUUCAGGCCCCUGCUGCAUCGAUCUAUUCUAGGAGAGACAGUUGCAUUCCCUUUUUUUUUAAGACACGCUUGGCAUUGGCAUCUGGCAGGGACAGGAACAGUCUUCGGACUUUCCUUCCUAAUCCUAUAGCACAUUGUGGGCAAGGCUACCUGCUUCGGCGGAUCUUACACAAAUUUUGUACGAAAACGACAAGGCGUGUCUAGAUAUGCCGCAGCAGCUAGCUCUUCCUGCGUAUGUUGAGGAGAGGCUGACACCUGGGUUGGCGCAGGUUUCAGCAGCUUGUCGUCGCUCAUCGCCGGGGCCUCCGAUCCUAGCUAGCGGACAAUACAGAGCAAGCUCUUCUCUGUCGCACGACAAGCUCUUCAGUAAAUCACAUCAGUGUGCGUUUCCACUGCAUAGCGGUACCUUGUGUUCAUGUUUUACGCACAUCAAUAUUGGCGCAUCGCCAUUGCGCGCGUGAUGACGGACGUGUUUGUUUCCUAGCUUUAAUGAAACAUAUGCUAAGCACACGUUCUUAAAAAAAAAAUUAAGACCGUACCACCACAUCCAGUUGCCCUAAGCGUUAAGUACGUGGGUUUCAUUAUUAAUAUACUAGGAGGAUUCCCCGCGCGUUUUCGCGGGUAUGAAGGAGGAAUCUAUAUGUAUGGUGUUGGUAAGAUCGAAGAAAGAUGUUGGAUGAAUCAAUGAAGCAAAAAAGUUAAAGUAAUUAUAGAAUUGAAAACAACUAAUGCUUACAUAUAUGAAAUUGCUAAUGAUACAAAUAUUAAGAAAAUUGGUGCAUGAUUGCUGGUCAAAUAAAGUAUUUUGAUCCAAUUGUUGUCGACGAAAGCUGAUCGGCAGUCUACCUUGGGGUAUACCCACGGUAGUAGUUUAUCGGUAGACGGUGCGCAAGCUACGAACUCGAUGGUGACGCAAGACACGGACAAGGUUUUUAUCCAGGUUCGGCCGCCGUGUGGACGUAAUACCUACGUCCUGCGUCUGAUUGUAUUGGAUUGUAUUGAGAGAAUAAUGUGUCCUAAGGGGGUCCCUUGCCCCUCCUUAUAUAGUCCGGAGGGCAGGGUUACAGAUCUGGAAACUAAUCUUAGUCGGUUACAAUUGCCAUAGAUAGCUCAAUAUCAAUUCCUCGACUAGAAUCUUGCUUGAUCUCCACGUCUUGUUUCCUUGUGCGAAACUCCGAGCAGUCGGAUCAAGCCUCGAACUCGUCUCGUAAUGGACCAAGCCUCCUAGCCCAAGUCUAGCCGUAAGGGUAUAGAGGUUUAUACCCCCACAAUUGUCAUGUUGGCGAACAAUAAAAACAAAACAAUUGUGAAAGGAUGAAAUCUAAAAUUCUUAAAUAGUGGAUAUUUUGUUGUCGUUCUAAAAGGAACAUGAACUUUUACACUGCCAAAGCAAAAAUUAAUUUGUCCAUUCCAAUUGUGCAAUACGAUGAAACAUCUUCACGAGACAUUACGAAAUAAAUAUUGUACCAACUUGCAUGUGCAGGUUGGCUUGCUCUAAGUCUGAUGAUUAGAAUAAAUAGGAUGAUUGCAUUGUUGAAUAUAGAGGAAAAAACAUCUCUGAAACCUCGCUCUAUGUGUGUGUGUGAGAGAGAGAGCAGGUAGUAGCAUGCAUGCCUAUGUAGAUUGGCCUGCUCAAAGAUUCAUUAAUCACAACGAUAGUGACGGAUCCAUAACUCCAUGGAGUAGUAGAUAAACCUAAAAUACAGGCAAUUAAUUUAUCAUAACACUCGGUUGUUCUAUCAACCUUGUAGGGAAUCAUUUAUAAACAAAAAGAAAGGGAAAUAACAAAUAGAAGGUUCCAUACAGAGGCGACCGACAGCAGCAGUAUGUUGGUGAUGGGGGCAAAUUAGAAGACACGAUUGCGAUUAGCAACAACAGGAGGCUGCAGUAAUAUGUUGAAGCAGAAGGUCGAUGCACAGGGACCCUCAGUCGUCCGGUGACACCUUUCCAAAUUGUAUGGACAGCAGCUACAGCUAUCAGACCACUUCAAAUGCCCAUCACCAACAUACUAUUGCUAUUUAUAUAUAAGUAGAAGAAGGAAUGGAAGGAGCAUGUUGCCUCUUCGUUAGCUCCAAUUAAAAUGCUCUGGCAUUCGAAGAGAUCCGAUAUUGGACUUACCCAUGGAGGUGGAAGCAGUUUCCAAGUUCAUCGUUAGUGGAGGAAAGUGGGAAGGCCAACGUCCAAGCUUAGGGACUUGAUGGGGCCAAACAAAUGAAAUUAAGGUUUUUGAACAUACUGCUUUAGUGGGGCUCUCAUGAUGAUGUGGCUUAAGGAGAUGCUAGAGAAAUAAGUUAGUGGGGUUUUGCUUUAUAAGAGUUAUAGAUAUGUCUCCUCUUCUGGUGACUGAUUAUUUUGAUUUAUCUACCAGUCACAUUUUCUAGGCAAUGGAGGAUGUUGAUCCAGCAAUUCAUAUUUGUCUCUCAGGUGUUCUUUCAUCCUCGAUUUUUUUCCCCAAAGAAAGGACAUUUUUUUUUUCUUGAGCGGAACAUCGUUUCUUUUUCCUUCUUAAGCGAGGCAUUCACAAAUGUGACUAAUAUUGGAUAUAUAUGCAAAUCAUUCAUGCAAAUCCAUAAUAAUUUGUGCAAGCGACAUUUCUAUAUUUCUUUUUCACAACCCCUGUCUAUUUGGAAAAAAAAAGAAAUUGAAAAAAAAAUGUAGCGACAUGCAAAGGUUAGAUUGGUUAUGUUGAUGCAAAAGAUAGAUCUGCAAACACAAAGGGCUAAUACCCGAUUUAAACGUUAAGGCGUGCUAGUCGAUUUGACCUUACUAUCGGCAAAGGUGAUAACUCAAAUACUUUGGUCCCGACAACAGCGAUACGCCCGGAUGCCACGGCCAAGAGGUAUUCACGCGGAACUAGAGAACACGCCAAGCUUAAGUCGACGAAUUCCUAAGAACUCGUAGUAAAAAGAAAAAGUAUAACGAAGUCGUCGAAAUAGUAGAUGCUGGAAUAUAAGUAAAAACUGGUGUUUGAUUGAUUUAUUUAUUCUAUUCAUUACAAAGCCCUAGGGUCUACAUUUAUAUCCUGCUCAAAGAACUACAACCAGACACGACUAGGACUCGAAUUCUAAAUUAAACAGAAUCCGUAUACAAAACGAAUUUAAACAACUAAGGAAAACAUAAAACCACCCCCUUGUAACCGACCGGGACACCGCCACAGAUCAAUCAGCAACCUCCACGCUUCCCUUCAGAGUCAUCGGCAGUCUCUCUGUUAUGGCCAUCGGCAAACACCAAUAUUGAUCAUCGGCAAGAACACGUCACCACCUUUGGAUUUAGUCAUAUUCAAUCUUCUCUUCAUCGGCAUCCAUCCUCAUCGGCAACUCUUCUGUAAGCUAGUUACUCUUGCUCCACCUGCCGAUCUAUACUCUGCUGGUCUCUGGGUACAUGCCCAAAAACGGUGUCAACACAUGCCCCCCAAUUUCGGAGUAUGAAAUCAUCAAUGCUUCGAAAUUCUCUGCAGUAAUGAUGUCUUUCCGCAAUCAAUGCUCCCAAUCUGGCACCCGACAGCCUUAAUGUGAACAACUCUGAUCCUAUUCCUCUGCAGAUUCCUUGAAAUCCUCAACCUCCCAAACGGACAUUUCCAUUUUAGUCGCACAUCGGUAAUAUUACCGUUACAGGGACUUGCCAAUAGACUGACCAGGACGUCUAUAUCUUAUCCUCCUAAACGGCUAUCUCCACUUCAUUCGCCCAUCGGCAAUAUGACCGUUACAAGACGCUGCCGAUGUACCGACCAGGAGAUCUCGCACAGUAAAAUAUCUCUGGAUAUUGACCGCUUCCUGUCAAAUCGCCUGCACAAUCCCUUGAUUAUCGUGUGAACAGUUACUAUAUCUACCUGAGUACCCUCGGAUUUCACGGAUACGGCGAGGAGAUAAGUCAGAUUUGCCCUUGCCUGUUUUGUCCUAUAAAUAGUUCCUUCUCGGGUACUCCUUCCCCAUCAUAUCAUUCCACAGCACCAACUCCACUUUCCCAGCGGCGGCACUGUUCGAGAGCUCCAAGACCUCCGACGAAGUCCUUCUUCACUAACUCCGAAGCCCUCGAUCAUCCUUUUCGUGGUGAGAUGGCCAUCAACUUCACCGUUCCUGAGGUUGGUUCUUUACUCCACCUUUUGUGCUUUUUCUCGCAUCCCUGUUCAUCCGCAAUCUAUUUUACUAAACAUUUUCUUUUCUUUCUUUGUUUUUCCCUUUUCCCUCAAAAACCAUUAGAAUCUGUCCAACAAAAUCGUCAUCCCCACUGAUCAACCACACCUCCAAUGUCUUGGUCCGUUGGGGAAUCCAGAUCCAACCGACCUUAUUAACGCAGAAACCAACAGGAUCCCCUUUAGAGCUGAGAAUUUCUCUUUGGAUCUAUGGAAGGAUACCUUCUGUUCCUGGCCCAGUCCUACCGUGGGAUGGAAGGAUUGGUUCUUGAGGGUCAGCCACUCACAUGAAGUCCAAUGGGGCGAGAGAAAACUAGACCAAUGCAUCAGGUUGUCUAUUGCCGAUAUGCAUAGGAAUGAAUCACUGCUGAUAGCUGCAUCAUACUUCUGGUCGGACACGCUCAAUGCCUUCGUCUUUGGCCACGGCCCUGCUUCCCCUACACUUGCCGAUGUAGUUAUGCUCACUGGUCUAGAUGUACCUUCUGCCGAUAGCACUCAUUUCUUUGACACCACGCCUAGUGCCAAGGUAGAAACCCGCUCCAUCGGCGGCUGGUCCGGGUAUAUUCAGAAGUACCGCAAAACGGGGUCCGUCGAUAUAAAGGAACAAACCACCUUUCUGAACAUGUGGCUGGACAAGUUCGUAUUCUAUGGCCGAUCGGCAGGCCCGACCUUCGUUUAUCUAUCGGCAGCAGAGAGACUGGCUAACGGUGGCCGUUUUCCCCUCGGCCGAUACCUGCUCGGUGCAGCCUAUCACCUCCUUCACCAAGUGACCAGAAAACUCCUACUCGGCCAGCCCAUCGGCAACUUAGGAGGUCCCUGGUGGUUCAUCAACAUGUGGCUCAGCCUCCACAUGCACAAGCGUCUCGAGUUUGAUCUUUUUGCACAGCGUUUCCCGAGGGACAUAGCCGAGGACCAUAAACUGAAUGAAGAAGAAUCGGCAACACGUCCUCCCCUAAACUUCAGUGAGGAUGUCAUAGCUCUGCCCGGCACAGAAGGUAAUCCAGAUCAGGUCAGCCGAUUCUUCCAAACCUUGUACGAAGGCUUGACCAGAGAGCAGCGAGCAUGGUUGCCUUAUGAUGAUCCAGACACCAUGUUCCCCCUGGUUUUCAAUCCGUUCAAUGACGCUCUCAACAAGGAUCAUGAAGUGAUGAUGGCACUGAUCACUCCCAGAGCUAUACCAGUGAACUUCUUUGGCAGUGGGAAAACCUCCGUCCAGACCUAUGAGUUUUACAAUCCAUUGGCACUGGCUCGUCAAUUAGCUUUCGGCCAGCUGCCGAUUGCACUCUGUUAUGCUGAUGUAAUAAAACCCAGAGAAACCAUCACCAGCCUCCUUGAAUGGACCCGAGUAGCCCAACUACUAUCAAGUGCCGAUACAGAUGCAGACUUGUCAGAGUGGGUUCCAGCAGCCUUCAUCACUCAGGCGUACAAGCAAUGGUGGGCAAAAUGGAAGGAGCAUCUAUUCUGCAGAUCGGCUCUUACGUACCGCGACAUGAUCGACCCCGAGUAUAAAGCUCUCGAUAAUACUGUAAGUAUCUCCAAACCGAUGUUUCAAUUUCCUCAAUUUUAUUUCCAUCGGUGACUCACCUUUGUAUCAUCUUGCAGGUUGACAACACCCCUCCAUCAGUUAGCAGGAGUGGCAAGCCGAUUAACCUGUUUCCAUCAGGCCCAAUCUCUUCAAUCGGCAACAACGCUCCCACCCUGGCCGCCAUCAUGCAUCGAGGUGUUCGCCUCAAGAAAGUUACCACCAAGAGGACUCAGAUAUCCUCAUCGGUAGCUGCCUCUACUUUGGCACAGGCUUUCAAGGUAUACCUUCGAUUUUUAUACCGAUCUUAUUCUUAUAUUUGUCAGACUUGUACUUACGAGUCUUUCUUUCUGUAUCAGCACUCCAGCGCAUCGGCAAGGACCAAAAGCAAAGGUGCCGAUGCCCCCCAGUCCAGCCAGCAGAAGAGAAAAGGUACCAAGAGUACUAGAGCACAGACAAAGCGCUAGAGAGUAGCAACUCCUCCUCCUCCGGUAUCUCCAAUCCCGGUGGAAUCCUCUCCUUCUUCUCCAGAAACACAGACACAACAAGUACCAUCUCCCUCUCCAAUGCAAGAAGCACCACAAGUGGAAGAACCCCAACUAGAAGAACCUCAACCAGAAGUACCUCAGCCAGAAGACACAUCGGCUGAUGUGCAUGAACAAACUACCGAUCCAGCGGGUUCCAUUAUAGCAUCGGUGGUCUCUUUCAUCCCGACAAGUACUGCUCCUCCUCAAGGUGACACACUUUUAUAAGAUUACUGCCGAUGAACUUGUCUUUCCUGCCUCAUAACCACUUCUGUUAAUUUUUCAGCUGACAUAGUUCCAUCGGCAAUUCUGGCCAAUCAACCCGUGGCCCCAUCGACAUCUUCAAGUCAGAUGCGGGAGGUUGCCCUGAAACAAGUAAGUUAUCCAACCUCUGUUUGCAUCAUUUAUCAAUACCUGACCAUAGAAUAACUCGUUUUAUUUCCUUUUUAGGAGUAGGAUUCUCCCGACAGCUUGUUCUCUUUCGCCAUCGACAUCUCCGAAGACGAGGAUGAAGAAGCAAGCUCUUCUCGGGCAGUUGGGAUCACAUCGGCAGAAGUCAGGGCAAAGCUGGAAGAAUUAUCAGCUCUCCUCCACGAAGACACAGCCCAGCUAGUCGACGAUUCCAAUCCGGCCAAGGCUUUAUUCAAGACCCUGAGAGGCCAAAUCCCCGCCGAUGCCGAAGAAGUUCUCUUUCAAGCAGCACACCUGGAGAGCCGUCAACUGCAGUACCAGAGAGCUGCCCGGCGCCUUGCCGACAGAGCCGCUCAGACUCGUCUUUCCGAGGAGAUGAUAAAAGAAAAGCUCCUGACCGAUGAGAAGCACAAGAAUAUCGGCACCUUGAAGUCCUCUGGAGACGCACUGAAGCAGAAGAUCUCUGAUCUAUCGGCAAAAAGAGAAGCCCUGUUGGCAGAACUCAAGCAAGUGGAGGAUGCCCUAUCCCAAGCCCAACAGGAAGAGAGUCAACUGCCAGAGACCAUCAGGCUCUUCGAGCAAGAGCGAAAUGCCCAUGGUCGCAAAGCACUGCAGUUGAAGAAGAAGUUGAAGCCGAUAGAAGGUUGUGCCGAUGAAGACGUCAAAGAGAUAGAAGCAGCCAACCAAAUCUGCCUACGUGCCAUAUCGGCUAUCCAAGCGCUACUAAACAUGUGAGCUCUUCAUCGGCAACAUACCCGCUUCUUCCUGCUUUCCAGCCUUCUUGAUGUUUAGUCUAGCCGAUAGGACUGUUAUCGGCAUCUUUUGAAACAUUAAGUCCGGCCACAUUUUAAUCCAGCCGAUAGGAGUGUUAUCGGCAUUUAAACUUUUAUGCAUCGACCCAUAUGCUGGGGUAGUACUUCUUUAGAUAUUUGCCAUUUAAUGCUCUGGGAAAUUCAACCCCUUCGAUAGUUUCUAAAAUGUAGGCAUUACCAGGAGCCGAUCGACUUAUCCGAUAGGGACCCUCCCAAUUGGGAAACCACUUCCCAAACUUUGAACUUUUAGUCCCGAUCGGUAAAAUUAAUUUCCAUACUAAGUCUCCAUCGGCAAACUCCUUAGCUUUUACCUUCUUAUCAUACCAUCUGGUAACUCUUUUAUUAUUCUCUUCUAUACUCAUCAAAGCCCUCAGCCGAUGCCCUGCUAGAUCAUCCAACUCGUCUGUCAUCAAAGUAGCAUAAUCAUCAGCAACCAACUGAUCUUGAAAAGAUAAUCGCCUAGACCCAGCCUUAAUCUCCCAAGGUAACACUGCAUCAUGCCCAUACACCAACUGAUAGGGUGAAACCUUGGUCGAUCCAUGACAAGCCAUCCAGUAUGACCAUAAAGCUUCAUUUAACAACGUGUGCCACCUUUUAGGAUUUUCCUCAAUCUUCCGUUUAAUAAGCUUAAUAAUUCAUUUGUUAGAUGCCUCGGCCUGCCCAUUAGCUUGAGCAUAGUAAGGAGAAGAGUUCAACACUUUAAUUCCCAUACCGAUUGCGAAUUCAUCAAACUCCUCUGAUGUGAACAUAGUACCCUGAUCGGUAGUAAUUGUCUGAGGAAUUCCAAAUCGGUAAAUGAUGUGCUCUUUCACAAAAUCAAUCAUAUUGGCCGAUGUGACUUUCUUCAAAGGAAUAGCUUCAACCCACUUGGUGAAAUAAUCAGUGGCAACUAGAAUAAACUUAUGCCCUUUGAUAGAUGGUGGAUAAAUCUGGCCGAUCAAAUCAAUAGCCCAUCCUCGGAACGGCCAAGGCUUUAUAAUAGGAUUCAUAGCCGAUGCAGGCGCCCUUUGAAUAUUACCAAACCUUUGACACCCUUGACACCCUUUGAAAUACUUAAAGCAAUCCUCAAGUAUAGUCGGCCAAUAAUAUCCAUUCCUCCUAAUCAUCCACUUCAUCUUGAAAGCUGACUGAUGUGCUCCACAUACCCCUUCAUGGAUUUCUCCCAUCAAACUCUUAGCUUCAUCAUCACCUAAGCACCGGAGAAUAAUCCCAUCUGUAGUUCGAUAAUACAAUUCAUCUUCGAGGAGCACAUACUUGGUGGCUUGAAACCGAACCCGUCUUUCAACUUUCUUAGAUGGAUCCUUCAAAUAAUCAAUGAUUUCUUUUCUCCAAUCAUCAGCACCGAUUGCCGAUAUUGCAUUAAUCAUAGGCUGAUAUCCCGAGGCAUGCUGAGCCAACCGAUUGGCCUCUUCAUUAUGCAAUCGAGGAACAUGCUCUAAUCGGAAAUCCUUGAAUUCCUUCAACAGUUGCAUACUCCUUUCGUAGUAAGUUAUGAGAAUUUCACUUCGGCAUUCAUAGCUUCCAGCCAAUUGAUUUAUAACUAGCAUAGAAUCCUCGAAGAUCUCAACAGCAUCAGCAUGAACUUCUUUUAACAACUCUAAUCCCUUUAUUAGAGCUUGAUACUCAGCCUGAUUAUUCGUCGACGUGGCAACAAUCGGCAAGGAAAACUCAUACUUCCUUCCCCGAGGGGAAAUUAAUACUAUGCCGACUCCUGCCCCCCAGUCACAUGUAGAUCCAUCAAAGAAGAGUGUCCAAGGUACAAUUUCCAAAGACUCCACUAUACCGUAAUGUUGAGUUAUAAAAUCGGCCAUAAUCUGUCCCUUAACAGCUUUAGCCGAUUCGUAACGCAGAUCAAAUUCCGACAGCGCCAAAAUCCAUUUACCGAUCCUGCCACUCAUAAUCGGCAUAGAUAGCAUGUACCGGACCACAUCAUCUUUGCAAAUAACAGUGCAUUCGGCUGAUAGCAAGUAGUGUCUUAACUUGAUACAAGAGAAAUACAGGCACAAGCAUAGCUUCUCAAUAGCCGAAUAUCUGGUCUCAGCAUCAAUCAACCUCCUGCUUAAGUAAUAAAUUACACACUCUUUUCCUUCAAAUUCUUGAAUUAAAGCCGAACCGAUGACCAUUCCAUCGGUAGACAAAUAUAAUCUGAAGGGCUUCUCUUGCUGAGGUGGAAUGAGAACUGGAGGUUUUACUAAGUAAUUCUUGAUUUCAUCCAGAGCCAACUGUUGUUCUUUCCCCCAAACAAAUUCUUGAUCGGCUUUUAGCUUAAGAAGAGGGCUGAAAGCACGAAUUUUACCAGACAAAUUAGAUAUAAAUCUUCUGAUAAAAUUUACCUUGCCGAUCAAGGAUUGGAGCUCAGUCUUGUUGGUAGGGGCAACUAUUUUGUUGAUGGCCUCAAUAGAUCUUCGACUGAUUUCAAUCCCCCUUUGAUGCACCAUGAAACCAAGAAACUGCCCUGCCGAUACACCAAAUGCACACUUAUUGAGAUUCAUUUUCAAACCAUGCUUCCUUGUGCAUUCCAACACCUUUCGUAGAUUGGCAAGAUGCUUUGUGAAGUCUCCAGACUUAACCACCACAUCAUCGAUAUAAAUUUCCACCAGCUUGCCGAUGAACUCAUGAAAUAUAAAAUUCAUGGCCCUUUGAUAAGUAGCACCAGCAUUCUUUAAGCCGAAGGUCAUAACUAUCCAUUUAAACAAUCCAACAUGACCAGGACACCUGAAUGCGGUCUUUGGAAUAUCUUCUUCAGCCAUGAAUAUUUGAUUAUAUCCUGCAUUGUCAUCCAUAAAGCUAAUAAUCCGAUGCCCAGCCGCAGCGUCAACUAGCAGAUCAGCAACUGGCAUUGGGUACCCAUCCAUCGGUGUAGCUUUGUUGAGAUUCUUGAAAUCAAUGCAGACCCAAAGCUUCCCGUUCUUCUUGUAAACCGGAACAACAUUGGAAAUCCACUCGGCAUACCGACACUGCCGAAUAAAUUUGGCUUCAAUAAGUUUAGUUAUUUCGGUCUUGAUGUCAGGAAGAAUAUUAGGAUUACAUCGGCGAGCUGGCUGCUGAUGUGGCCGAAAUCCAGACUUGAUAGGCAACCGAUGUUCAACAAUCGAUCGGUCCAAACCAGGCAUCUCAGUAUAAUCCCAAGCAAAGCCAUCUUUAUAUUCCUUCAACAAAUCAGUUAACUGUUGCUUACACUCAGGACUUAACUUAGCACUAAUAAAAGUAGGUCUAGGCUUAUCACCACUACCUAUAUCUACUUCUACCAAAUCAUCGGCCGAUGUGAACCCCUGGCCUAACUUUCCAUCAUCGGCGAACCUAUCCAUUAAAAACCAUCUUCAGAACCGACUGCUUGGAUCGGUGGAAUUUCAUAAUCGGCAACUUUGAGGAAAUCCUUUUCCCACGCUUCUCCUGAAAUACACCUAGUCCUUUCAUAGGUGUCUGCUUCUGCCGAUGCAAUAACAUAGGAAGAAUCUCCCGGGACAAUCUCAAUCUUGUCACCUACCCACUGGACCAAGCACUGGUGCAUUGUAGACGGGAUGCAACAAUUGGCAUGAAUCCAGUCUCUCCCCAGCAACAGAUUGUAGGCACCUUUUCCACUGAUCACGAAGAAGGUAGUCGGCAAGGUUUUGCUGCCGAUGGUCAAUUCUAUGCAGAUAGCUCCUUUAACUGGGGACACAUUGCCCUCGAAGUCUUUGAGCAUCAUAUCAGUAUUGGUCAGGUCCUCAUCUCCUUUCCCAAGCUUCCGAUACACUAUAUAAGGCAUGAUGUUGAUAGCAGCCCCACCGUCAAUUAAAAUCUUGGUCAUUGGCUGACCAUCAACCCUUCCUUUGACAAACAGAGCCUUAAGAUGUUGUCUUUCAUCAUCGGCAGGCUUCUCAAAGAUGGCUGUCAUCGGAUUUAGAGCCAACUGAGCUAUCUGGUCGGAAAACUCCAACUCAUCAUCACUGGAUGGCGCAAGGAACUCCAUCAGCAACAUAAAGACCAUGUUGACAUCUGUCGAUGGACCUUCCCCCUUAGGAUCUGGUUGUUGCUGAUCCCCAGACUGCCUAGAGUUCUCCCCCUUGCUUAACUCUUCUCGCCUUUCGCGCUACAACCUUCUUUUCUAUGUCCUGGUCAAUCCUUCUGGACACCAUGGAGGAAGUUGUUACUGCCUGAUCGCUGAGCGACGAUUUUCCUUUGAUUCCACUCGAUAAGUAUUGGCAUCCCUGCAAAAUAUGAACUCAUCGGGAACCCGUGAAUUAGCCAUCUCUUCAAGUUCUUCCUAGUUCCUGGGGAAAUACUCAACACGAUCUCCAAGCCUGUCGUGCACGCUGAGCCUGCCCCCUAGCCGAUCACGAACGGAUGUCCUCCCUCUAAUCGGCCCAUUAAAUUGCCUACCAUUAUCACGAUAGCGCCGAUCAGACCUGUCGUACCGGUCAUAACCGUUGCACUCAGGACAAUCUCCGACAGUGGGAAGUUUGAUAUUCUCCUCCCAACAAUGAAUGAAGAACGGGCAAUUCCAGUGAUCCCUAUGCCGAUUCCACUCCUGUCGGCGUCUUUCUUCUUCCCGGUGAUAGUCCUCUUGCUGGCACCGAUACCGAUCCUCACGUUGCUGCCAAGUCUCCCGAGGCCUUCUGUGAGUUAUUACAAUACCAGAUCGGGGAGGCCUCCUUGAGUUAACUCCCUCCUGGACUAGGCCUUUUCCUUUUGCAUCAGCGGUAGUGAUUUGAUGCUGAGGAUCCACCGAUGCAUUUCUUUCAGCUGCUUCUGAUGUUAAGACCUUGGCCUUUCCCUUAGCAUCCAGCAUGUUUGUCGGGAAAGGAUGUUGGUCAAUCUUCAUCGGCUUCUGGGUCUUGGAGCUGUCAAAUUUGAUCCUUCCAGAUUCUAUAGCCGAUUGCAACUGUUGCCUAAAUACUUUGCACUCAUUGGUGCUGUGAGAAGUUGCAUUGUGCCAUUUACAAUACUUCAUCUUCUUCAACUCCUCAGCCGAUGGGAUCACAUGAUUAGGCGAUAAUUUGAUCUGACCUUCCUGAAGUAGAAAGUUGAAUAUCCGAUCGACCUUAGUGAUAUCAAAUGCGAAUUUCUCUGGCUCUUUAUGUCCAAAAGGACAAGACAUCGGCUUCUUGUUUUUCACCCACUCUGCUAAGCCGAUGAUUGGUUCUUCAUCAGAGUCCGAGCUGGUUGCUUCAUCAACGAACGACACCUUUUUGUUCCAUGCUCUCUUGGGCUCGAAAGGCUUGAUAUCUUGAUCAGAAAUUCUCUGCACCAAAUGACUUAAGCUUUCAAACUCCUGAGAUGCAUACUUGUUCCUGAUGUGUGGCAACAAACCCUAGAAAGCCAAAUCGGCUAGCUGCCGAUCAUCCAGAACCAGGCUAUAGCAUUUGUUCUUGACCUCCCGUAUCCUCUGCACAAAACCUUCAACCGAUUCAUCAUUGCGUUGCCUCAGUUUAACCAAAUCGGUGAUCUUCUUCUCAUGGACCCUAGAAAAGAAGUAUUUGUGGAAUUGUUUCUCCAAAUCGGCCCAAGUAAUCACUGAAUUGGGAGGUAAUGAUAUAAACCAGGUGAAAGCCGAUCCGGACAAUGAUGACGAGAAUAAGCGAACCCUUAACUCGUCCCUGUUACCAGCUUCCCCGCAUUGGAUGAUGAACCUGUUGACGUGUUCCAUGGUCGACGUGUCAUCCUGCCCAGAAAACUUAGUAAAAUCCGGCACCUUGUAUCGAUUUGGAAGCGGGAUCAAAUCAUACGCUGGAGGAUACGGUGUCCGAUAAGAGUAAGUGUUGACUUUGGGUUUUAUCCCAAAUUGAUCUCUCAUUACUUCAGCAAUCUUAUCGGCCCAAUAAGCAUCGGCAUCUUGCCGAUGAGGUGGCUGCGGAUCUGGUGCCUGCUGGUAAGCUUCCACGUGUCGGUGCGGCGCGCGAUCUGCAUAGAACAUUGGAUUAAUAAUUUGUCCACCCAUCUGCUGACCACCGAGCCGCUGACCACCCAGAUGUUGACCACCAAAUUGCGGGCCAGCGAUCUGUUGGCCGAGAUUUACCGGCUGAUUGACUGCCCCUUGGUUCUGAAAUCCUGGGUAGAUUUGGCCUUGCUGAUACCCUGUAGCCUAAUGAUACUGUUGGGACAUUUGUGGAAAGACCGGCUGCUCCGUCCAUCCAGUAUUAGCGUUCAUCGGCAUAGGGCCUGCCGAUGACUGGUGAUUAGGCAUGAUCACUGAAUUGUCAUACCCUGGCUGAGUCACAAAUCUCUGUUGCAUCAGCAUUGAAUCUGCCGAUGCUUCAGGCAUCUGAAACGUUGGAGCUUGAGAAUUCCCGAUGUGAGGUCUUGCAGUAGUGGUCGUAGUAUACUGGGGACUCUGAUUCAUCGGCAUACUUGGAGGUGCCGAUGUCAUAGGAGUCUCGCCUCUCAUAUCAGCUGCCUGAGAUGUGCCAGGUGUCUUCAAUGCGAACUCUGGGGGCAUACCAUAACCCCACCAGUUAGGAGGAGGAACCUGUCCUGACAUUGCCGAUGCCAGCAGAUCUGUAGCAAGCUUGAUCUGCCCAUCUGAGGUUGGCGGAUUAGUCGUCAUCGGCGUAGAUUGCGCAUUAGUAACUCCCAACGUGCUUGGAGGAACGGUGGUUUGUGUACCCACAGCGGCUGUAGCAGCCGAUGGAGUUGUGACCACUGGUGAUCUUGGCUGAUGAUGAGAGGGACCCACAUAAUCUGGUGGCAAUUGUCCUUACUUGAAAGUUCUAGCCACGACGUUGAAAAUUGUAUUGAACAGCACACCAGCUUGGUUGAUCAGGGCACAGUUGAUGGCACUAUCGACCAUCUCCUGAAGUUUACCAGGAUUGGAUUCAAAAGUAACCUGCCGACGCGUCGGCAGCGCGUCCUUCUGGAUCACUUCACCGCUCCUGUUCAUGCUGAAGGACCUCAGGCAUUGCUGCUUGUAGUCCUCCAUGGCUUUAGCAAUAGCUUGCUUCUGCUCAUCCUUAAGAUUGGCUUCCGUCACGGGGAUGACGUUCUCUUGAUCAAACUCAGAAGUCGACAUGUUGAUCUUGAUCUUGUCCCACUAGGCGUGCCAAAAGAUAUGUUGAUGCAAAAGAUAGAUCUGCAAACACAAAGGGCUAAUACCCGAUUUAAACGUUAAGGCGUGCCAGCCGAUUUGACCUUACUAUCGGCAAAGAUGAUAACUCGAAUACUUUGGUCCCGACAACAGCGAUACGCCUGGAUGCCACGGCCAAGAGGUAUUCACGCGGAACUAGAGAACACGCCGAGCAUAAGUCGACGAAUUUCUAAGAACUCGUAGUAAAAAGAAAAAGUAUAACGAAGUCGUCGAAAUAGUAGAUGCUGGAAUAUGAGUAAAAACUGGUGUUUGAUUGAUUUAUUUAUUCUAUUCAUUACAAAGCCCUAGGGUCUACAUUUAUACACUGCUCAAAGAACUACAAUUAGACACGACUAGGACUCGAAUUCUAAAUUAAACAGAAUCCGUAUACAAAACGAAUUUAAACAACUAAGAAAAACAUAAAACCACCCCCUUGUAACUGACCGGGACACCGCCACAGAUCAAUCGGCAACCUCCACGCUUCCCUUCAGAGUCAUCGGCAGUCUCUCUGUUAUGGCCAUCGGCAAACACCAAUAUUGAUCAUCGGCAAGAACACGUUACCACCUUUGGAAUUAGUCAUAUUCAAUCUUCUCUUCAUCGGCAUCCAUCCUCAUCGGCAACUCUUCUGUAAGCUAGUUACUCUUGCUCCACCUGCCGAUCUAUACUCUGCUGGUCUCUGGGUAUAUGCCCAAAAACGGUGUCAACAGGUUAUGCUAUAACCUACCAAUCUUUAUGCUCAAAUUUUUAGCUAAUUGAUCUUUCAGUGGUAUGCGAUAAAGGUCAUCAACACCGAGUUCCAUGUGUGUAUAGUAACUUUGUAAAUCUCAAGAUUAACCUAAUUAGUCUCUCUUAAAGACAUUAAUAUGAAUAGCCCAUGUUUCAUGAGGUGAUACAUCAUGUUUGGUUUGUAAAUCUCAAGAUUAAUAUGGUGUGUUUGGUUUGUGAAAUUACCCCAUGUUUCAUGAGGUGAUACAUCAUGAGUUCAUCUCAUGAUUUUUGGUGAAAUCAAUCCAUUCCCCAUGCAUAUACUAAUUAUUUUUUGAUUGAAAUGCAUUGAAGAUUGAAAAUUGAACUUCAAUGCAAGUUGGAGGUUGAAAAAUGUACUUUACCCUUUCUAGAAAGUUGAUUUAUGCUGGAAAUCAACCAGCUUUACACUCUUAGGUUAAUUCGUUCUUCGGAUCUUCCUUUUCCUUCCAAUCCAUGAGUUCGGCCUUGUUCAGUUUCUAAAAAUUUUUGCAAAAUUUUCAUAUUCCCCGUGACAUCGGAUCUUGCGACACAUGCAUGUAAUAUUAAAUAUGGAUAAAAGAAAUAACUAAUUACGCAGUUUAACUGUAAUUUGCGAGACGAAUCUUUUGAGUCUAGUUAGUCCAUAAUUGGACAAUAUUUGUUAAAUACAAACGAAAGUGCUACAUUGUUCAUUUUGCCAAAUUUUUUGGAACUAAACAAGGCCUUCAUUUGCUACACAUGUAUACAAGAGCAUUAACGGACCCUCUUCAUCGUUUGUUUUCACCUUUUCUCCUCAGAUUUUAAUGAGUUCGAUGAAAAUGUACAGCAAAUGUCAAGCGAAUGGACCUAAUGGAAAGCAAGCCGAUGUUUGGAAACACUACACGCCUAUAGAAGUACGCGGGGUUGAUGGGAAGGUGAUGCUCAACUUGGCAAUCUGCCAUCACUGCAGCAUGGCGUACCAGACUGGUAAAUGGGACUCCGAAAAGGGGAGGCGCCUUACCCUCCGUAAGCACUACCGCAAAUGCAGUGACCAGCACCACGAAAUUCCCUGAGUCACAUUCAACCUACAGCCGCCAAUGCUCUCGUUAUGAGCCGAGUUGCAGUUUUUUUUUGAAUCUGACCUUGUCAUUAUCAAAUAAAUUAGGGUUUGAGUGCUUUCCUCAAAUUAUAUGAUGCUUGGCUUGCUUCACGUGCCUACUGCCCAUAUAACUUGGACACCUGAAACCAUUAAGGGGUGUUUGGUUGGAGAUUUAAGGGGUGUUUUGUUGGAGAUGUUAAAAUUUGACGGGUACUUGCCAGCUAGAGUCACCACUCACCAAGCCGUACUUGCCAGCUAGAGUCACCUGACCUAGUGACCUAUCUUACCCCCGAGUAGCAAAUCAGUGUUUCACUUCAUUCGGGAAUUUCCUUGCACAUGACACAUUUUUUUCUUGCGUAUGUCAACGUUGUACUUUAGAAGGUUGACGAAUCUCAAACAAGUGCCUGUCAGCAAACUAAAUCUUGACAAAUUCAAUCCGGUUUGUAACACACUCGCGAGUUAAAAUUUCUCGACAAGCAAUAUAUUUUUUUUUUAGGGUCAACGGGGGGAGACGUUCCCCACCUGAAAAAAACUUUAUUCGGUUUGCCCCAUAAACGGCACAAUAUAUAGGUAGCAUAUUACAAAGCUGCAACUAAAAGUUGCGCUCACACGGUUUAAAAGCAUUAGACAGAGUGCACUAGAGUAGAGAGUUUCUAGCCAUUUCAAGGACUGAACACCAAUGGGUGACUAUUGGCCUUUUUUGCCUUGGUAGUCUUAGUUUCCAAAGUUCGGCUGCCGACUUGCAGUCAAAGAGGAUUCUAUCAACUGAGUGAGUUUCGUUGUUGAAGAUCUUUGCGUUUCUAGCUUUCCAAAUGUGCCAGCAGAUGAGCGCAAUGAAGGAGGAGAACUCCUGGACGGGGGCAGCAGCUGUGUUGGAGGCAGUGUGCAGUUGAGACAUGUCCAUGGAGAUUAUGGACUGAAGGCCUAGACAUUGCCAUGUCUCCCUGCCGGUGGUGCAGCCAUGGAUGAUGUGUUCAGGAGACUCGUCGCCAUUGUUACAGAUUUCACAAGUUGCGGAAUCUACAAUGUGUUUCUUUAGCAGCACCAAUCUGCACUUGAUUCUUCUCUGAGUUAGUAGCCACAUAAAAAGCUGAACCCUUGGCGGAGCGAAGGUCUUCCAAAUGAAUUUUGCUUUUGGGUCUUCUCCUUGCCCCUUGGCCUUGAUCAACCUGUAAAGCUGCCCAGUGUCAAGGGUGCCAUCCGCUCGGAAGAAAGCCGAGCUCCGCUUGUCUGGAUCGCUGUUUAGUUGAGUAGAGUCCACUAAGCCCUGAACCAGGUUCCGCUCCUGAGCUGCUAUUGUGGAGAGCCUAGGUACCAAUGAGUGGAUGCCAGAGGCUUUCACUGAGCUCAGAGUGGAGGACUUGUCUGUGCAGUGUGAAAACAGCGCGGGGAAACGAUCGGCCAAAGGUUCAUCAUCUACCCAGACAUCAUGCCAAAACGAGCAGGUCAUGCCAUCCCCGACUGAGACAGUCGUGAUUGGACAAGCAAUAUAUGCAUUUCUGCACAUGUAUGAUCAUCCUGUUUUUUGCCUAACUUAAAUACAACUAUUGUGUCACAGAUGCAGAGGUUUUCUAACCAUGCCUAAAUGUCACACAUGCAAAAUAGAGAAUUACCAAGUAUUAGAGAGUCUGAAGAAAACCCUCUUCUUGAUAUCAGAGAGUUGAGAGUAUUUCCCUCUGUACAGGUUAUCAGCCAAAUUUUCCUUUUCAUUUCCGAUUCUAAACAGAAAUAGACCGUCAGAUGUAUGGAGUUUACAUCAUUACAGUCCUAGUGGCACUGUUUUCUAUUUCUAUCUACAACAGAAACUAGUGUCAUGAAAACCAUAACAUCGAUUAUAGGAGAAGGUGCGAAAGAAUUGAGAAAGCAACGCAAUGCAAAUAAGCAACAGGUGACCCUUUUUUUCUUGACACUGAAGCUCACAUUUUGACCCAGUUUUAGUUGAUCUCGAGACACUUGUGACAGGCGUCAUGCACAAACACUUUGCUCUAGUCAAGAUGUCAAAGAACAUGACUAUAUACUCAUCUUUACCCUGUUUAGCGACCUGCCUGUGGUAGCACUAAUCCUUUUCUAUUGCUUCUGACCUUCUACUGAUCACUAAUUCUUUUCUAUGGCUAUACACUCCUAUUUCUAGUUUAUAAACACUGACCUACUCCUGCUGCUAGUAUAAACAGAAGGGGAAAAAAAAGAAAGAUCCUAGUAUGGAUUUUGUACAGAAGAACCUAAUUUUGUAUGGGGUGAGCUUUGUACAGUGUCAUGAGAUACAUGCAUGGAUGUUGAACCAUAAGCAUCUGGAAAAAAAAAGGAAGUGACUAUAUGUUAGGGUGGUACUGACAAGUAUAAAUAAUUCCUCUGUUUGAACAGAACAUUACACAUAUAUGAAAGAAAUACUAUUUGUUACCUUGUCUUGUAAGCAUGAGUUGUCCACAAGGAAUUUAUGGAUCUUGUAUACUAUUUAUGCUUGCGAAAUUGUGCCCAGGCCAGCAAAGGCAGGCAUUCGUUUAGGAAGAACUGAUGACCAUGUGAACUUUUGCUGUAUGUCAUUUGAAGGAAGGUGAUCUUGGUGAUUUAUCUGCAUUCCCAUUUUUUGAUUUUACAGGAGUUUUGUCCGGGUUUGCCUCUUUUUCAGCUUCUUUCUGGGCUUUCUUCUUCUCAGCCUCAAUUUGCUUGAGGUUCUCAUCAUGAGCUUUCCGAAACAACCCCACAAAGGUCAGAAGAGUUGUAGCAACUGCAAAUGUUUUAAAGAUUAGUCAGAACUAAUAAGGAUUGUAAAACCACAGAUGUGUGCUUUGUUUGUAGCUCAGGAAACCCAAGCAGUACACUGCUAAUGCAUUUAGAAAAAAGGAAAAAGAAAGAAUGGAUCGAAGCUAAAGCAAGUAGAAAAUCACAUCAAAACAACUGAUGUAGUUCACAGUUUUUUUUAUUGAAAGGGGAAAACUUUUGCUUCACUGUGGUAUUAUCAGACAAAGAGAAUAGGCCCACCGGAAACAAAAGCCUUACAACUAAGGGGUGCGCUAAACUUCCUCCAAAUAACUAUAAUAACUAUGGUACAAUGUCAUAACUAAGACACAGUUUUUUUUGGGGGGGAGGGGGGGGGGAGAAAACCGGCAAAACCCUUUUGCAACCACAUCACAUUGACAACUCGUUUCACAGAUACCUAUUUGCCAUAUUGACUGUCUAAAAUACAGGAUGUGGCAAAGCAAAACCACCGACAAAAGUAAAAAAACUACAAGACACUAAUAAAGACCAGGCUUUAGUAUUGGUGCAGCUCAGAAGGAAGUCAGACGAGUAAAUCACAGGUUUAUGUAAAUGGUAGUCCCAACCAGUGUUAAUAAGGCUGCAAAGAGCCUGGUUCAGUGGUUCCCGGUAACUAUGAAAUGUAUGGCUUUAUAUGGAGGGAACUGGGAACAAGCUCAAAUCACCACAGACUGGUCUAUUGGAGUAGCUUGGACAAUAUUGACAAUACUCCAGCUGGGAUAGAUUAAAUGCUCACGCCUUCUGCUGGCUAGGGCUCCUUUUUAGAGAAUACGCAAGAGAGCUGUAUGUCUUUUAAGAACAACUAUAUUUUAAAGCUUACAACACAAGCAGAAUCGGCACACACUCGACGAGAGAGUACAUCAGGAGCUUAUACUGUCAACAAGAGAAACCAGAUAAGCCUAGCACUGUGAUUACAGUCUAGUGCGAGCCACCCCUGCAUCAGAUGUGCUGAAUGCCCAUCCCAGCCCAGCAAGAUGCUUAGCCCCUGCCUGAAUUGUAUGCUAGGAGAAUACUAAAGUCUCUGAAGCAAUUUCUGGAACGCUGACUUCCAGUUCAAGUGUCAAUGUAGUUUUUCAUUAACAGAAGUGUGUUGAUGCAUAAAACAAACUGAAAGGAGGUGCAGGCUACUGCCACCGCUUUGUACUGGAAUCCAGAAGUGUCAAUGAUAAAAGCAUGUUAUCUGGAUCACAGCUUUACCACCAUAGUCAAUGGAAUAAAAACCAUUUCGAUGGAUUCAGUUAAAAAUGGAAUAAAACCAUUUUCAUCCAUGAAAAAUAUCCUUUAACACCUAAGGUAAACCAUUUCCAUGGAUCUAUUGGCAUGAAUAUUACCUUGCUCAAAAGGAAAUUUUGCAGGGUCUUCUCCAAAAUAAAGAGCAAGUGCAUCUGCGCUUUUACCCUGUAAGCAGUGAAUAAGUUAAAAGGGGCAAAUCUAAAGCACAAAGUGUUCAUAAUGGAAGCAUGGAUGAUGACAAAUGACUUACUACUUCAGAGUAGAAUGCUGAUAGGGAGCGUACAUCAGCACUGGAACAAUCAAUGAACUCCUUUAAAGUCUACAUUGCAUUCAACGAGUAGAUAACUAAUCAAAGGCUCAAUCUUUUAAGCAAACAUUAAGGAUACAUGAUGACACAACCAAAACUACAAAAUACUGGCCACCAGAAACAUUUCAAAUAGAGAAGGAACUCUAAACAGCACAAAAAGUUAUGACAAUAUACCUUACGGAAAACAUCAGAAACCGGCCCAUCACUCUCUGAAGCAGUUAGCUCCUGUUCAACUUUUUCCAGCCCCUUUACAACUGCCAGCUGCUCCUCCGCCAAUGCUUUUAGUUGCAACUGUUUACAGUAACUCCAUAAUACUUAACAAAUUCUGUCAGGAAAGAUUAUCCAUAUUAGUCAGAGAAGCAAAUUACCUUUGAAGAAGCUUCCAAGUUGACAAGAUCCUCAUGAAAAUCCAUUACUUCCGGUGACUUCUCUGCAAGGGACUGAAGUACAUUUAAACCAGUCAUUAAGUUCUGAAGAAAACUGUACCGAUGAGAAAUAAGCAGUCAUUGACAAGAUAUCUUCCCAACAUAUUCCGCGCUACCAUCCGCUAAGGUAUUACCAUAGGAAAAUGGUAUCAAUGACCAUAAAGAAUCCAAAAUUUAGAUUACAUAAGAGAUGAUGCAAUAAAAGAUUCUGCAAAAAGCUCAACUUUAAAUAUGAAAACAGAUAUCUCAGAAUAUGAAAUAUACCAUUCAAUAUGAAAUGGCAAAAGAAAAAAAUAACAGUUUCAUUUUCUACUUCUAAUAUGGUCUUUUUUAUCACUAAAAUGCAUCUUUUGAUUCACAACUCCUCUUUUUACCUUCCAUCUUGUUUUUGCCAUUACUUUCAGUUUCCUAAUUAACAAUACCCCUUGGGUGUUACGUCCAAUUGUGUAAUGUCAAAACUGUCUCUUUCACCUUUAGCCCAGCAGGCCUUCUUUGUGCAUGUGCUUGUCCAUGAUAAAUAAUAGAAGAGAAGGAUUUGGGAAUGGAAGAUGCAUGUGUAGUUGUACAAGCAAAGUUGGGAAGAUCACAAAUCCAGUGUCUUUGUUUUGUUAUGGAACAUGGCUCAACACAUGCAUCACCAGGAAAAUAAAACAGAAAAACUAGGCCAACCUAGCAGGAACUAGGCAGUUUUAUAUGAAGAAGAAAAUAGGAUAAAUUUGCAUCGAUGAGGACUCAAACUUGGGUGGUAUAUAGGCUUACAUCCACACCCUCAACCAUCCUAGGCUCAUUUGUAACACAUGGAUGUAUAGAAAAAAUACAAAAGGUCCAUGUGAACAUUAUCUUUUGAAUGCAUGCUAAUUUCCUGUUAUUCAAAUUUUGGAUUUCAGUUCUCUACAUACCUUACAUAGAAAGUGCAUUAAUGUCAUUCUACCACUAGUGGCACGGGUCUCUAUAAGUUUUAGGAGGCUGUCCAAGCGAAAACCAACAGCCUGGCCUGCAAUGAAAUAGCAAGAAUAUUACUUUCUAAUAGAAAAUAUAAUAGCAAGUAAACCUAUUUAGUGGCCAACAGAGCCUGAAGAUAUUCUAUUUAGUGGCCAACAGAUAUAUGCAGAAAAUUAAGUUUAAAGAUAUUUACAACAUCAACAAGCGAAAGUCCAUUACCCCUUGGUGUGCCUUGAUUUAAUGUAUUCCCAAUUAACAGAAUGUUCUUCAUGAUAACCUUCAACUUCUCAGAGCUUCUGAGCUGAAUGGCAUAUCAGUGAUGAGUUCUCUCAUGAUGAACAUGGAUACCAAAUGUAAAAAUAAAAAUUCAGGAAAAUGUGUACCUCCUCACAAGCAGAUGACACAGUCUGCAAAUUCUUUCUAACAUCCCUAAUCUAAGAGGAAAAGAAGAAAGUUGGAUGGUGAAAAUCCAUGAACAUCUCAAUGAUCAAAAUACCAAAAAGUUACCAGCAUAUGACCUGAGAUUGAAACUGAAUCUUGAAAGCGAAUAUCUUAAGCUUAGAUUCAACCCUUGGCACCUUCAUUAACUCUAGAAAGAACUGCAGAUGGAAGGCAGCAAGGUAAAUUGAAGGAAAACAGGUAUUUUAAGAUUUUUAAUAAUUAUGCAAUACUCCAGUAUACAUUUGUAUCCUUAGAAAAAAUAUAUAUAAACAUGUAUAUGACAUCGGGGUUUCUCUACAAAACAAAAUAUGGAUGCUUACAUGCUCACACUUUCCAAGAGCUUCCUUGUCCCCACUGUAGUUCUGAUGGAAAAAAUGUGCAAAAUAAUUGACCUUAUUUUUGCAAGAUUUAGGGAAGAAAAUGGUUCAAACAUUUGGAAAAUUUAGAUAUUAAUUCAAAACAACCUUUAGAAGUUCCAUCUCCUCUUUUGUUGGGCAAAAUUUUAUGAGAUUUUCAAUCUGAUCAGCAUCCAAAACUGAAUCAUCCAAAGCUAGAGCAGCACUCUGUUAUAAGUAGAGAAAGUAAAUAUAAGCAUGUACUUCAAAACUUACUUGACUAGUAGUCACAAAUUUGGGGUUAAUUUCUGUCUAAAUUUCCCACAAAAAAUUAGGGAGAAGACUGUCGUAAAUGAAGCAGCUUUAAUUAUGAGUGAGUAAAACUCACGAAAAACAGGUGAUUCUGACUUAAACAAGCUGAUGACUUUACAACAAUUUUGUUAGAUUGUUAAAUUGUUUAUAACUGUGUAGGAUCUGGUCAAAGUAGUAAGUGUGAUGACGAACCAUAUUGCAACCAUAUACAAAAUGCAUCUUCAAUUCAAGGCAGACAUGCAGACUGACUGGGAGAAAAAAAUGCAGCCACAAUGCAGUUAUUUAGUCUAACCAUGCUUGCAAUUUUAUUGCUGUGGAAGUAAUGAAAUUUGGUUUUUGCCAUCAUGGAAAAAAAAAGAAAAAAAUGCAGUUAUUUUAUCCACAUCUAACCAACACAGCAAUUCUAAAAGUGAGGUAGGAUUGUAGGAACUCCCUUUCUUGCCACUAAACAUACUGUCAUUUUGUUUUUUCUACCUGCCCCACUUGUAAUUUAUCAAUGAAGAAAUUAGUGAGACAAGCAAAAAUUCCCCCAAAAAACUUAUUAAUGCUUUCACUUCAACAAAACUGUUUAAUGAUAACUACAUUGGAUCUUCUAUGAGUAUCAAGAUUCAUGUAUUUCUAUGAAAGAGAAAUAAUUGCCAUGAUAAAUGUUCACAGGAAGCUUCAACACUAUUUACAAGGAACUCAUGCAAUUGAUGGAAUUGGCCCUGCACUGAUAUCAUGUAAUUUAUAUGCUUCAAAAAUUGCAAACAAUCAAUGUGCUUUCCAUUCAAACUAUGACAUAUUCCAUGUCAUUCAAGAAUGCAAAGCGGCAUAGACACAUUUCUGGUCAAAAUAUACUUACCAUCAUAUCAGGGAGCGGCAUUUUGAUUUUUGUCAACAUGAUCUCUGUGUUAUUGGCCCGUCUUAGAUCGAUCUGUGGAUUUUUCAAAGACAAACUGAAUUUUAAAUAAAAUAAUAACACACAUAAAGGAUUUAUAUUGCCACGAAACACUUUUUUUUAAAAAAAAACAACUUUAAUGCCAGCACGUUAGUGCCAAAAAGAUAUAUUUUGAGCUAAAGUAUUAAAAUGGACUGUAAAUAUGGAAUCCACAGUCACCACUAAAAGAAGCAUGGGCUAGACUUUUCAUGCAUAUCUAUCUUAACCCCUAGGAAUAGAAGAUGCAAUAGAAUAAAAUAUCCAUUAAUCAUAACUCAUAAUUGGCAUGGAUACUCCAAUAUUGUUGAAAUUGACUUAUUUACACCAAAUGAACAAAAAAACAAGUUUAGGCCAGGAAAAAGGCUCUUGAAGUUCUCUUCUUCUUAACGCAAUGAUAUGCACAUCUCCUUCAUAUUCGAGACUUUUUUGGCAUAUUCGCACACUUUUCUAUGACUCAGGUCACUGGGAGAAACUUGGCAGGGUGGUCUUAGUUUAGCCUGUUUAGGAUCUGAGCAUAACCUUACAUGUAUUAUGCGGUAUCGUAGACCAUGCAAUGCUGGUUGGUUACAAAAGUAAUUAACCAAAAGGGAAACAAACUUAUAUAAGGAAAUAAACUUCCACACAAUUGUUAACAAAAAAAAGGAAGUACAUGAAACUCAAGAUUGGCUAUUGACUUGUCUAUCGUGCUUAGUAAAUUACCAGUUGAACUUUAUCAGAUUUUGUUCCAAGAGAUUUUCCACGGCCUUCUGAUUUUGAGCCAGCUUUUGUCUUUGGAGCAAUGGUAAACAGAGACUCCAGUUCAUUGACAUCGAAUUCAGCACGGCUGCAUUGAUCAUAUUACCAGUUAGCAUAGUAAUCAGAUGAGAAAUAUACAUGGAAUCCACUGGAAUCUACAAUCAGUAAAAAGAAUAUGGGAUUCAAAUUAAGUAAAUAUGUGGGAAUCGAAUUAAGUUCAUGAUGACAUUUAUCAUCAGAGCCUUUUCCAUUAUGAAUAUAAUUAAAAAGUGGAGAAACUAUUGGAUAGUUGAUAGUACCUAUUAGCUUCCACUUGUUUUUGUAGCUCUGCCCACAAGCUUCCUUGCAUUGCCCUUGUUACUUUGACCCAAUGUAGUGGUUUUAGAGAUGACCUUCGUACUGCACUUUGUAAUGUUGGGCCUAAAGCGCGAGCAAGGCCAUGUCCUCUUCCACCAGGUGGAGUAGGCAUCCCUCUUCCACCUGGAGGAGGAGGGGGGCCACCAGGCAUUCCAGGAGGCAUUGGUGGAGAAGGUGCACCAGGAGGGGGAGGGGGACCACCUACUCCUCCAUGUCCUCUAGGAGGAGGUGGUGGCGGACCUCCAUGACCUCCAGGAGGAGGAGGUGGUGCUGGAGCUCCACCUCGGAACCCUGCUGGAGGUGGAGGCGGUGGAGUUCCCCCUAGCCCACCAAAGGGUGGUGGUGGAGGAGGAACUCCUCCAAUUCCUCCAUAUGGAGGCGGUGGUGGUGGAGCUCCUCCAGGAGGUGGUGGUGGUGGUGGUGGAGCUCCUGCAUAUCCUCCAGGAGGUGGAGGCGGUGGUGGAGCUCCUGCAUAUCCUCCAGGAGGUGGUGGCGGUGGUGGAGCUCCUGCAUAUCCCCCGGGAGGUGGCGGUGGUGGUGGAGCCCCUACAUGUCCUCCGGGAGGUGGUGGUGGCGGCAUUAGAGCUUCUGCAUAUCCUCCAGGAGGCGGCGGUGGAGGGGGAGCCCCUACACAUGCUUUGGGAGGUGGCAGAGCCCAUGCACAUUCCCCUGGAGGUGGCGGUGGUGGUGGAGGCCCUACAUGUCCUCCAGGAGGUGGUGGAGCCCCUCCACAUACUGUUUCAGGUGGCAACAGGAUCGGAGCCUCUACAAAUACACUCAUAGGUGGUGGUGGUGGUGGUGGAGGAGGAGGAGGAUCUCCUAUGUGUCCAUUGGAAGAUAGUGGUGGCGAUGGCGGUGGCAGGUGUGAAGGACUUUCAGAUUCUCUGGUAGGUUGGAGGAAUGACAAAUUUCCACUGUGAAAUCCAAUUGGUGGAGGAGGUGGAGGUGAUGGAAUAUUCACAAUUCCUCCACAAAGAGUAGACAAUGGAGAUCGCCUUUGUUCUUCAGGGGGAAGGAGAGGAGGUGGGAUUUCUUUAGUAACUUCAACAAGAGAAGCUUGCAGUAUCGAUUGUCCACCCUCAGGUUGAGACAAAACUUCACUCGUUCUAGGAGGCGGACAAAGUACUUCUGGAGGAGGUGGAGGUGGAGAUGGAUUAAUAUGUUCUCCACAAAGAGAUGGAUGGUUAGGGAGUGGAGCUGGAGGUAGAGCAACGAAUGAUUCUCUUGGAAAAGGUGGAGAGGAAGCAGAAGGUGGAUUCUCAUAACGUUCUCUUGGAGAAGGUGGAUUUGAAGAUAAACAUAAAGAAGGUACAGGUGUUGCAUGACAAGGUGGUGGUCGUGGUGGAGGAGGAGGUGGAGAUGGAGGUUUCAUAUGUUCUCUAGGCUGAGGCAACUUUUGUGGCGACGGUGGAACUGGAAUGCCUCCAUGUUCUUCUUCAUCAGUUAUAGAGGCCAAGACUCCGUUGAUUGUUUCACUUUGUGAUAUCUCCACCUUGAAUGGCCUCAAAUGAAUGGAUAAUGUUGUUUGAUCUAAAGGCUGCUCACAAUUUACUUGCUCUGCAGAUAUUGAACCUGAGGAAUUAUCUGUUACAAUAUGAAACGUUGGAUAUGGAGGUGCUGCAGGUAUAGAGGAUGAGAUAUUUGAAAUUGUAUCUUCGGUGCUUCCAAAAACAUGCUGAACUGUAUAUCCAGAAUGUUCUGAUGAAGAUAAUUCAACAGUAAUAUCAGAUUGCAGCAAUCGAACUUCACUUGCUUCAUGUCCUUCGAGAGAAGUAGGUGGAACAGCAUAUUUGUGUUCUUGUAGCAUUGCUGGUUCUUUAUAUGGACAAUCUGAAGAUGGAUUUGAGUAUACCAGUGGAACUGAUCCACUAUCACAACAUAUAGUUGGCAGUGGUAAUUGUGAUGGUGGUGGUACUGGAGGCAAAGGUGGUGGCGGUGGUGGUUCUUCACCAUGUUGUGAUGUUUUGGGAGGUGGAGAACAAGUCAUGUGCAACAAAGAAUUUGUAUCUUCAUUGGUAACUGGGAUAUCCAUGGCAGUUACUAUAUUAGGUCUACUUGGUACUUCCUCGUCUACAAAAUCAGAGGCUCCUAAGGGACAUUCUGUUGCAGCUAUACUACUUUUAGAGUGCGAAGUUAGUGAGGAAUCACCUAAGUUGAGAACAGUUUGUCUACAACCUGGACUGAAGGAACAAGAUCCAUCAGCUCUUAUUUGUUCAUGUUCGGAUAUUAGGGUGCUUGAAUAACUUUGGGUGCAAGAAUCAUGUGGAGGUGGGUGUGGGGGUUGAGGGGCAUAUUGGUUGGAAGCAAGCAAAGUUAGACUACCUGAAUGUACAUCCUUUUCCUCUGUCAUUGGUGGGUGAAGAUAUUGAUGUGGUGGUAUUGAGGGAGGUCUAACAUGCUCUUGGUGUUUGGGUGAUCUUGAAGAAGACAUUGACAUCUCUAAGUAUGCGUCAAAUGAUAAUGAUGGUAGAGAUGAGAAUGAUGGUAGAGAUGAGACCGUUCUUAUUGGUCGCAGAGUAGGAUGUACUAGAGACAUUUUGGAUGAUGAUCCCAGGGCUGUGUAGAGUUGAGAUGGUGGAAGCACAGAAGAUGUAUCUGAAUCAUCCCUUCCACUUGUAGAAGUAACGGAGUUCUGCUUAGAUUCUGUUUGUGAUGGAGAAAAAAAGGACAGAUCUGUGGAUGCUGCGCGAAGCAGAUUGCGCCUGGGAGAUGAUGGAGAAAAAAGACUAGAUGUUGCCAAUGGUAGAAAAGGUUUUUUCUUUAGCACCAGUCGAGAUGAGUCGGUUGUAUCUGUAUUUGCAUUCACAGAAGUUGAAGCAUGGUUUAUUGUCAAGUUAGAUUCUUCUGGUAGAAUGUUUGCACAAGAGAUAUUAGAAGACUGGCUCCUGGAGCUGGAAAAUGAUGCGUCAAUUCCCGCCCUUUGUUCUACAGUGCCAUUACUACUGCAACCAUGAAGCUGAUCAAUAUUUUCCAUGGCAGAACUUAGAUCUGAAGAAGUGCUUGAGCUGUGAAGAUGCGGUAUCCCUGAUAAUGGAAGCUCCAACCCAUUAUUCUCAUCUUUGGGCUCACUCACUUGUGAAUUUGUGUCUGUCAUGGUAAGUUUUUCUUUGUUGCUGCUUUCUUCUUGUUCAAUCACUAUGCCAUUUUCAUAAGCAGCAUAUUCAUCUUGCACACUGUGUCCCUCAUCCUGUUUGCAAAACAUAUUAAGCCGUCUUGUACCCUCAGCUUCUCCCAAUGCAGUGCUUUCUGAAUCGUGGACUGCCUCAUCUAAUUCAGUUUCCAUCAUAUUCCCCUCUACCAACUGUUUGGGAGUUGUAACUUCAGAUAUGAUGACCUCUUUGAUCAUCUGUAUGUCCUGAGGACUAUUAGUUUCUAGUAUAAUCACCUCCUUAACCAACACAUUAUCAAUUUGACUCAAGUCUUGAUUGGAGCCCAUCCUUAUAUCCUGCUUGGAACUACCUUUUUCAAACAUGCACCCAUCCUCUUUAUAGGUAGAACUUGAGAUGUCGCUAUCUGCGUCUCCAUCUGUUGUAGCUGACAAAGUUGACUUCACAACUGCAGUCUCAUUGUUGAGCAUAGUAUUGGCUUCAGUGGAUGUGCAUGUCUUUCCGUCAUUUACUGUUUCUAACGACAAGCCCAAGUUAUCUGCUUUAUUGUCUCGUGAUCCAUCAAUGCCAAUAUUCAGCUCAAAGUUGGAAAACGGUGAGUUUUUCCAACGUUCGGCACUUGGAGUUGAGGUAUAAUCUGUAGAGGCUAUAGAAAGAGUAUCAGCAUCCUUAUUUCCUUCUUGCGAAUCAGUAUUACUGAAGAGUUCUUCUGCUUCAAAGAACUCGUCAGUAGAGGCAACAUCCAUAUCAUAAUCAUCAUCAUCAUAGCCAUAAUCAUAAUCAGGUGCUACUUCAGUGGACGCAUCAGACUCAGCAUCAAACUCUGAAAAGAGUACCUGGUUGAGACAUGCACCCACAAUUAACAUUGUAUUUGGUGACAAAUUGCCACAUGCAUACAUGAGAAAUCAUGGCCUACCUCUGCUUUGAAGUUCUUUGUGAACUGGUAAUCGGCAUCCCAAGGGACAUCGAUGUCCUCAAAGUUUAAUGGUAAAAUGUGAGACUGGAUGAAAAAGGUAUUGAACAUCACCCUAAACAUUAACCUUUCAUUUCCUUGGCCAUCAUCUACAUGCAGACAUUCAAGGACAACAUCACCUUGGACGCAGGAUCCGACAUUUAACUUCGCUGGCGCAUUAUCUGCCUGCAAAAAUAGUUAACGAGUAACUUGAAUAAAUAGCAGAACCAUUUAGAUAAGAAAUAUGCUUGAUGGUACCUGUCUGUAACGCCUAAUAUGUUUCUUGGCCUUUGAUGGUGGUGAAACGACACCAUGCCUUUUGUCAGUUGUUGGAAUAUCCUGCCCAUAUACUCGAACAAUUGGCCGACAACCACCGACUCCAUCAAAAUUUGGAAUUUCUCUAAGAAUUAUACAAUCCAAGGUGAAAGGAAUAGGUUGUGUAGGCCACCCUAUGUCAUCAUCCAUUCUGCAUAUGUACCCAAGAUAUCGAAGAUGAGACGGUUGUGGAUUCAAUGUGGUUAGCAUCUGAAGAAGCUCCUUAGGGGCUUGCUUGUACACCAUAUCUAGAGUUCUUUGCUCCCCAUUAUAUUGUUUCCUGUACAGAAGAAGACCUGCAAGCAUAAAUGCCAACACUGGCCAUCCAUCUUUCUCACAGUGCAUUAGCAGAAUAUUUUGCUGCCCUUCAAGCAUAAGCCACCUUUCACUCAGCCUGAGGAAGUGGAGAAUGAUAUCCAAAGGAAGUAACGGGCAUCCUAGAUACUUGCAAGGGUAGUCUUUGGUUGUAAUGUUGUACUUGGAGAAAAUGCCUGAAAUAAGACUUCUUCCUUCAUCUCUGAAGUUGAGUACCAUCAAUGAAGAAUCUGCAAACUGUUCACGGAGCUGCAAAAUAAUGCUGUCCAGGUAAUUCUUGUAUCUGUAUUGGUCCAUGGUUUCUGUCGAGAAGCAACAAUCAAAUACUGCAAGCACAAACAGGCCAAUCAUUGCACAUUAAUGUCAGACUUAAUUUGACAAUGUCUGUAAACAUCAUAGCAGUAUGUGCAAGGCUAGAAGCCACCAGUUGAAAAUUUUCUGAUACGGGACUAUGGAAGUAUCAGAUCAAAACAUGAUAGCCUUGGUCCUACAUACUCAGAGCAUAAACGCAUGACAGUUAUCCUGUUAGUCCUACUACUACUACUAAGAAGUCACCUAACUGCACUACUGAAAACUCGUCAGCAAACAAUUGAAUACAACACAAAGAUGCCAAUCAGUAUCUCUGGUUCUCUAGUCAUGUGAAGCCUCAUGUCUUACAAACAUUUUAGCAGCAUUUUAGACCAAAAUGCACUUCCCAUUCAACAUGAUCGCAUUGUUGUUGUUGAUGAGCAAGCAUUAUCAUAUUAGGCAUAGACUAAAUGCCACAGCUUCUCAUCUAUAUUCAAACAAGGAGGUUACACUAAUCGACCAUAAAUACAUAACAUUACUUAGCACAAAAGUGAUCUGCAUAACAUAGGAGCUUCAGAAUCUAUCCUACCUGCACAAGCCAACAAGGUUGCUAGCAACGUUACUAUCAAAAGUGCAGUAUAAUAAACAAAGGAAAAUUACAGCAACAGUCGAACACUGAGAACAAACCCUUGCUUUUUGAGAAGCAUAGCUCUGACGAAACUAGAAUGGGCCCGCAAAAUCAUGCUGGCACCGUAAGCUAACGCAGCAUGCACAAGGAAGACAUGUUCAUUAGCUGAAAGCCUGAAAACAAUAUGCAGAGAAAUUUGUUCCCGCACUGGGUGAAAUUACAGAAUGCAGCUGCAUUUCCGGUGCUAAAAUCAAUAGAACCACCGAUUGCACACACACACACACACACAUACACCCCUAAAUUCCCCCAAUCGAAGAGCAGGCGCGGGGCGAGGAGACCGUACCGUAGACGCGGUCGGCGAUCUCGAGGAGACGAUCCGGCGGCUUCCGGUAGAAGAGCCUCCGGAACAGCGCGAUCCCCUUGCGCUUCCGUCCACCGUCGUCGCCGCCUCCGCCGCCGCCGCCGUCUCCCGCGGCGGCCUGCCCCCGGGUCCACUUGGUCCGCGACGCCCGGGACCAGCCGACGGCGCGUUUGCCCGCGGCCAGCCAGCUUGAAGGCCGCGGCGGCGGCGCCAGCGAUGACCGGGAGGCCCCGUGCUGCCCGCUGUCGCCGCCGCCGCCCCAGCGCCCACCCGCCAGCGCCGGCUAACGACACGACCGCCCGGCGAUCGGGCGCGCCACGCACGCACCCGCCCGCCCGCCCCAGCUCCGGCGCGCGCGAGUCGCGGGAGGGCAAUGCGCGCCGGCCCCGCGCGGCGGAAUUCGGCCAGCUAGGGUUUGCUUUCCCCACCUCUCUCUCGUUGUCUCGUUGAGGAAAAAAAAAAAUCCGCUCGUGCGUGCUGCUAAAAUUAUUUUUGGGGGUGUUGGAGGUGGCAGAGAAGGAAGCCAGGGAGGAGGAGGAGGAGGAAGACGAGACCGGAGAGGCGGCAGAGCAGCGCGCACCAACAUGCACGAGGAAAUGAAAUGCCUCGGGGGAUGGAUUUUUUUUCUUCUGCGGAUGACAUGUGGGGUCGGAUCCAACCGGCUGCGGCCGCGCCGCGACGUGACCGUUGCCUCGGGACACGGUGCGCGCCACGCGCCCACGCCGGACGCCGCUCGACGCACCACACCACACCAAGCAGCGACUGUCUGGUGGGCUUCUUGACGAUGGUGGGCUCUUUGUUUUGGGCCCGUAGCAGCAAGAUGAAUCCAAGUUGGCCCAACGAGUGGUACUCUUGCCGCGUUACACAGAGCUCAACGAGUACCGGGCCUAAUCCAGCGCUAGAGAUUUCCGAGUCCGGUUUCUAAGAAAUCCUUCGUCGCCUAAAAUAAAAAAAAAAGGGAAAAAGUCUACUUUUUUUUCUUUCACAACUCCGAAAUUGGACAAACCAUUUCCUUCAAUUUUUUAAACCAUGCAUUUUACAUCCCUAGAACGGUUCUGAAGAUGGUUUCCUACAGUGAAUUGUUGUUUUGCUGCAAUAACGAUGGUUUUUUUUUAUUUGGAUGAAUCUUUGAAAAAUCAUAGUAAAUCAUAGCAAAAUUAUAAAAUAUAAAUCUAAUUUUCUUAGACUCCACUUGAGUAUAUAUACACUAUGAACAUAUAAUAUAUUUAUUCUUUAGCCCAACAAAAUAGUUAUAUAAGUUGCAGCUAUAAAUUAUUUCAAUUAAUUAGAGAAAAGCAUAGAUCUAAAGCUACAACAAACAAAUUAGACUAAAGCAAACCAAAUUAUAUAUUUACUAUGUAGAUAUGCUCAUGUGGAGUCUAACAAAAUUUAAUUUUAUAUUUUAUGAUUUUUUUGUAAUUUACUAUGAUUUUUUAAAUAUUUAUCCAAAAUAAAUAAAAAAGAAAAAGACAAAAUCUUUAUAACAAAAACUUUGUACUAAAGAAUACCAUAUUAUAUGUUCAUUCUAUAGAUCUACUUAUGUGAAGUCCAACAAAAUUAAAUUUUUUAUUUUAUGAUUUUUCUGUGAUUUCCUAUGAUUUUUAAAAGGUUCAGCCGAAAUAAUUAAAAAAGAACUGAAUGAUAAAUAGAAAUUCUUAAAAGAAAAAGACAAAACUACUGUCACUAUAACAAAACUAUUAUUCACUGUACCAAAACGAUUGGCCCAACGAUGCUGGGCCGGUCAGAACUAAUCAGGAGUAGUUGGGCUGGACCCGUAACAGCAAGAUGAAUCCAAGUUGGCCCAACGAGUGGUACACAGAGUCCGACGAAUAACGGGCCUAGUCCAGAUGUAGAGAUUUCUGAGUCCGGUUUAUUGAGUUCGUCACAGUUUAAAUUUAAUCCAAAUAUGGAUAAGGGGUUGAGUUCAUGUGGACUAAAUUUUAUAGUUUAUUAAAGUUGAACAUUAAAACUUAAGACCACUUUAACUUCCUUCUGUGUGUUCUAAAUUUUUAUUGUAAGAUUUACUAAACUUUAGAUGGCAUUUAUAGAACUACUAUUUAGAGCCUCAAAGUAAACUAAAGUUUAGUCGUUCGACUUUAGACCAUAGGAUCCAGUACUACCAUUGGCAUGGCAUCAACACUAAGCCCAAUUUUUAAAGAUUUCCUAUCACAUCGAAUCUUCUACGGCAGAUGCAUGGACCAUUAAAUAUAGAUAAAAAAUAACUAAUUGUACAAUUUACUUUUAAUUUGUGAGACAAAUCUUUUAAGUCUAGUUAACAUAUAAUUGGACGAUAAUUACUAACUACAAACGUAAAUGCUACGGUAGUCAAAACCAAAAAAAUCGCCAACUAAACAAGGCCUAACCACCAGCACCAGGUUACAUGUAAUUUGCGAGACGAAUUGAACGUAGUUAAUCUAUAAUCUCUACAACUAAAAAUUAUGAAAAGGACCCAUCUACCACACACAUGGUGAAGCCACAACUCCCAUCCCUUUUAGUCAUGAUAGGCUAUCCCAUCAACCUAGGCCCCACUCACCCCAUGCAUGCAAAAUUGUUUGAGCGAAUUUAAAAAAGUCAUAACUUUUAAACCGAAGAUAUAAAUUAAAUUCCGAUUACACCAUUAAAUUUAUCAUAACAAAUCCUUCAAAACAAGAUCACACAUGGAUAUAUUUAGAUAAAAUUUUAUUAAUGAAUAUUUAUCUCUACAACUAAAAAUUAUGGAGAGGACCCAUCCAUAACUUCCAUCAUUUUGGUGGUCUUUUUUACUGCGCGAUGACACGCUAUCCCAUCAACCUAGGCCCCACUCACCUAUGCAUGCAAAAUUGUUUUAGCGAAUUAGAAAAAGUCAUAACUCCUAAACUAGAGAUAUAAAUUAAAUUCUGAUUGCAAAAUUAAAUUUCUUAUAACAAAUUCUUCAGAAUAAAAUCACACAUGAAUAUAUUUAGAUAAAAUUUUAUUAAUGAAUAUUUAUCUUAUAAAGAUAAAAUAUUUUCUUUUAUUAAGUGGAAACAAUAUUUUAGGUUCAAUAGACAAUGUUCUGCCUUUGUAAAAAAAUGUUAUCGAUUUAGAAGAAUAGUACUUUGGUUUUAGGUUUAUGAAAUUGAUAUUACAAUAUACAUAAAAAAUACAUAAAUACAUGACAUAGAUAAAAAAAUAAAAAAAAUCUAGAGUAAAAAGCACAAGAAAAAAUAAAAACACAAAUGGAGAAAAAUUUCAAAUAAUGUCAAAUGGUUACUUUUCAAAUAUCGUAAAUAUAUUUAUAGAACAUUAACAUCACUAAAUACAUCAUAGAACAUCAUUAAAUAUAUUAUAGAACAUCACAUCUAUUAUAGAUUACUUGUAUACCAAGUGAACACCGUAAGAAACAUUAUAGAAUAUCACAUAUAUACUACGUAAACAUGACAUAACACAACAUAGAACACUAAAUAUAUAUUAAAUAAAUACCACAUAUAUAUAGAAAAUAAAAAUAAAAAAAUAAAAUUACUAAGAAAAAAAUAUAAAAACAAACAUAAUUAACAAAUGAUAAAAAGUGCAUAGAAAAAAUAAAAUUAAUGAAUAAUUUAAAUAAGGUUAAAAAUAAGAUUAAAAGGAAAUAAAAUAUAAAAUAAGAAUGAAGAAACAUAGAAAAUGUGAAAAGAACAAAGAAAAACAAAUAGAAGCAAGGAAGAACAAUAAAAAUAAAACCAAAGAAAAAGAAAAUAAAAGGUAAAAUUAAAACAAGAAAAUAAUAAGGAAAGGACAGAAAAUAAAAUAAAAUCGAAAAAACAAAAACUGAAAAGAAAUGAAAAAAGAAGAAUAUAGACAGAAAAAAUAAAAUAACAAUGAAGAAACAUAAAGUAUGUGGAUUUUAAAACCCGUAACAACGUACGGGCAUUAACUUAGUUAGAUAAUAAUUACUAAAUACAAAUGAAAGUGUUACAAUAGUUAAAAAAAAAAAUCACCAACUAAACAAGGCCUAACCACCAGCACCGGGAAAACAAAGUUGUGCACGUGGACAGUUGACUGAAAAAAAAAACGAACCAGCUACACGCAUACCACGAGCUGAGCCGCGGACAUGAAAUCUGCAAAAGUGAUGGCUAGGUGUCCAUCAGAGAUGACACAUGAACAAACGCAACAACCGCAUUAGCGUACACAAACACGUCGUUGAUGCACAUCAUCGAUCUCACGCAGGCAGAGGCGGAGCUCCCAUUAGGCACAGUGGGGCAGCUGCGCCAGCUACCGCCGGUGUGGCUCCCUACCUCCAGCUUCUCCUUCCUAAUCUGCUAUGUGUAGCGUUAUUUCUUGACUCUAGCAUAAGGACUGAGAGCGAAGGAACGUGCAGUGAGGGCUGAGGGAUAACUGAUAAACAUCAACACUCUUGUGGGGAUUCCGAAACUCCUUUAGUUUUAAAUUUGUCAUUUAUUAGACACUUAAACUCUCAUUGUGUGAUAUCAAUAAAAAUAUGCCUACGAUCAGAUCAUAUGUGUCCGCGCCUCACCUAAAAUUUGGUUUGAGCUCCGCCACUGCACGCAGGCGCAGCACGUGAUGAUGCACUGAUUCGAUGAGCAUUAUAUUAUAUUGCCAACACACGCUGGAUUGGUCGGUAGCUAAUAGCUCCUCAUGUUCCCUUUCAUGAUUAACUGUACUUGUGCACCAAUAAAAAGGUGUUUCCGCAUUUAUCUGAAAAAAACAGUGGCCAUUCAGACGUCUCGUCGUCUCCAAUAAUUGCGGGGGUCUACUUUUCGAGAUGCAAAAGAUCGAAGUUUUCUUUGAUUUUACAACUACUCCUUACAAAGUUAACCACAAAUUUAUACUAUGAAUUCUCGACUGGUCCUCCAAAUAUAUAUUCCUCGCAAAAAGCCUACUGGUUACAAAAGCCUCAGCACUAUUUUAAAGUCUUGGGUUCGACUUUUCAUGGAAGUGAGAUGUCGUGAUUUCGUCAAUCCUCAAGAAUUUAAUAAUCCAUGCUUCAAAAAUAUCCGUAGAGAUACAAUUUGCGUACGUGUAUACAUUUAUAGGGAUGAGUAUACUUACGUUGUAAGUGUGUAAUAAAAAAAUACUUCAUCAAUCUCAUAUAUAAUAAAUAUAAUAAGUAGUACACUAUGACACUGAUACGAUAUUCAAUGAGCUAUUUUUAUAUUAUAGUUUCGUUUGGCACAACUAUGCUUUAGUAGUAUAGUUAUUUUUUUACUUUAGCUUCACAAGUAGCUCUAUUGGUUGAGUUAAAACUGUUUUGAUUAACUAUUUGGUAAAAUAUAUAGUUGUAUAAGCUUUUUAAAACAUGGUCACAUUCAAAGAACCUCACGUAGGGGUUCACCAGAGCAAACGAGAGCUAAGAAAAGUUACUAUUUUUUUCCAUCUCUUAUCCAUACUUUGUGAGAGUACAUUUAAAAAAAACACCUUAGGUGUACCAAUUUCAUUUUAUCAUAUUUGGCAUGAAAUUAGAAAUAGCUUAUGUAGCCCGUUGAGAAACCAACGGGGCCUAAUAAUAUCUAUGGGGAUAUAUUUAUGAAGCAGAAAUAGUCAUAUGCUAGAAAACCUUUACUAUGAAGUGUAGAUAAACAUAAACAGACAUAGGUAUACCUAUAAAAAAAUUGUUUUGGAUAAUAUUUAGGUCGAAUAUUAAAAAUAUAAAUCAUUAAUAACUUUUAAGUUAUUGAGUUUUAAAAUAUAAAAAACAUAUUAAUAUAUUUAUCUUAAAUAAUACUUUUAUAAAAAUAUACAUAAAUUAUUUUUUGAUAAAUAUUUUUAUAAAAAUAUAAAGUCAAAAUUAAACUUUGAAGUAAAUGUUUGGAGAUGAGAGGUAGGACUAGUACGCAGGAAAGGCGCUAAAAUAGAUCUGAAUCUGAAUAAAAUAAUGUGACCGUGCCUAUUCAAAAACUACUCGUACGUACUACUUAUUAAUUAUACCAAACAAGUGCCUUUGGUCAGAAAAAAAGAAGUUGGAUUUUAGACAUCCAAUGAUUUUUUUUUUCUCAUCAAAAAUCAGUAAAUAGUAUUUUUAAUCAUAACUCCGACAGCGUAACAAUUUAAGUCAACGAGUCCUCUGUGCAAAAAGUCACAUGCGGCCAUGCAUGCAUGUCUGUACUUGUUUUCACUGUUUUCCGUCUUUGAAGCAUACUAGUCUCAUAGGCGGACUGUGUCACAGCUUUGCAAGCGUGCACAUGUUUCACCCUGGAAACCAAAACAUAAUUUUACUACACAUGCAUAGAGUAUUAAAUAUAGAUAAAAAUAAAAAUUAAUUACACAGUUUAUCUGUAAAUUAUGAGAUAAAUUUUUUAAGCCUAGUUACUCCAUAAUUGAAUAAUGUUUGUCAAAUAAAAACGAAAGUGCUAGUUUUCGGAACUAAACAAGGCCGUACUUGCCUAAACAUAUCAUUUCAAUUGAACAACAACUAAAGAAUCGGCCUUGUUUAGUUCACCCUGAAAACCAAAAAGUUUUCAAGAUUUCCCGUCACAUCGAAUCUUGUGGCACAUGCAUUAAACAUUAAAUAUAGACGAAAACAAAAACGAAUUACACAGUUUAGCUGUAAAUCACGAGACGAAUCUUUUGAUUCUAGUUAGUCCAUUAUUGAAUAAUAUUUGUUACAAACAAACGAAAAUGCUACAGUACCGAAAACUUUUCAGUUUUCGGAACUAAACAAGGCCGAAAUAAAAGAAUAAAGUAGAGAAUUAUUUCAUUUCAAGAACUCCACCUAUUGUGACAUAAUUAAUGUCCCUUUCGUUUCAAAUAUAAUAAUUCGUAUUAGGACUCAACGGAGCCCAAAAUUCAUAAAAAUGAUAAAUAGUUAUUCAUAUUAACUAUGGAUACUUAAUCGUUGAAAUUUAUAUCAUCAAUAGAUUUACAUUAUUUCACACAUCAUUUAAUUAAAACCAAUCUUUUAGCAUUUGAUGACAUAUUAUAAAAGUAAUUGAUAGUCAAAAUGCAUUUCCAAAGACUUCGUUCUCCGCCUGAUGAUACUAAUAUGCUUUGUAAAAUUAAAUGGAAGGAAUACCUACUACAAAACUACAACUAACUAUUUCGAAAUUUACAACAAGACUAGGACUAUUACAUUUGAGCACAUGGUACCAUAGAACUACAAAUUUUCUCACAGCUGCCUUAGUGCCAAGAUACUUGUUGUUCUAUGAUGAGAAAACAGAAAAUUAUAGUUUUGUGACGGUACCAAGCAUCAAAAUAUAUAGUUGUAGCGAUCUGUGGGUUAUAUCAAAAAAAUGUAGUCGUAGCUAGUUCUGUGAAAUCUAUACUCAGUUUUGCAUUGUCUCAUGGCAUAUAUAUAACACAUGUACAUAAUUUUAAUAUAGGCCAAUAUGUACAAGCAAUACAAAUAAUCAACAAUAGGAUGUCUCCACUUACCAACCCUACCACCACCACUUUUCACAAAAAGAAAAAAAAAACUACCAACACCACAACGCGAGAGGGAGAGCCCUGACCCAACAAGCCUAGUGCACGAUGAUUUAGGCCUUGUUUAGAUGUGAAAAAAUUUUAGAUUUAGUUACUGUAGCACUUUCGUUUGUUUGUGACAAAUAUUAUCCAAUUAUAGACUAACUAGGAUCAAAAGAUUCAUCUCGUGAUUUACAGGUAAGCUGUGCAAUUAGUUUUUAUUUUUGUCUAUAUUUAAUGCUUUAUGCAUGUGCCGAAAGAUUCGAUGUGACGGAGAAUCUUGAAAACUUUUUGGUUUUCGGGGUGAACUAAACAAUGCCUUAGUCUAACAACCACACUAGCUAUACACAAUAUACAUCCUAACUAACAAUGUUUAAUAUAUAUGCUCAUUGUACAAUGCCAGUGCUACUCGAGCACAUUAUUCUGUGCGACAAAUUAAUAAUGGGCCGGGAGGGCACACACAGAUCAUGACCAAUCAGACGGCCGAGACUUUUGCAAGCAAGGAAAUGGAAAUAUAGUUUGGUGAUGCAGGAAGUGGAUCGAAUAAUUAUUUUUCGCUGGGGCAAAUCAACCAAGAAUCUAGCUAGUGGAGUAGCUCGAUCAGUUUGCGGCCGGAAGCUUUUUCUCCAAAUGGUGGUUGCGUGCUGUGUGUGCAAUGCCGACUGCAGGCGACUGCCCAACUGUACGGUGUCGGUGAUAGGCAAGCAAGCAAUUACACUAUUUCAAAUUAGUCGUAAUACAUGUAAUUAGUUAUUUUUAAGUCUAUAUUUAAUAUUUCAUACAUAUAUUCAAACAUUUGAUGGGAUAGGGUGAAACAACAAAAACUUUUUGUCUGGUACGGUAUGGCUUUCACAUAGUUUUCGAAGCAGAUAUAUAUAUUUGCAUUUUCCAAAAACUAACAUAUUUAUUACAGUACUGCUAAAAACGAAUUUCUUAUUAUACUAUAUUUCACUUUGCUUUUGAGAAUCACUCAUGUUCAUGCUUGAGGCUAGAGAGAUUCUCCCUCUGUCACUUUUUAAGUGUUGUUAUAGUAUUCGUGUUUUAAAAUUAUGAUUAGGUUUGUAAAAAAAUAGAAAUAGUAUUUGUGUCUCUAAAUAAAUUUAUUAUAAAAAUAAAUCCAAUGAUCUAUCUAUCUAAUUAUACUAAUUAAUCAUAAAUAUUAAUAUUUUUUUUGCUUAUAUUUAGUCAAUGUUAAGUAUAUUCUUUUACUUCUUGGAAAGUGAGAACAACAAUUAAAAAUGACGGACAUGACAGUGACUUGCAGGACUGACACUAAGAAAACACAACAACUUGGAUUAUAUAUAUUGUAUAUAUGUUAAAGAAAAAGGGAAAGUGCAAGUCGAUCUGAAAAGAUGCAAAAGGCUAGCUAGUAGCAAGCAGGCCGGGUUGUUGGCUUUCAGUGCAAACUCCCUCCAUUUGCAGCAGGAUGAUCAUCAGCUUUAUAUUUGUUGCACACCAAAGUUGCAUCGUUCCAAGGUUUACAUAUGUCGCCUCCGUCGUUGUGCACGGCAUUGAGGGGCCCCGGCCAGAGACCGGGUACACAUACUACAGAGGAGAUGCAUGAUUCGCCGUCGCCGGCACAGCUAGUUUUUUUUUUGGCUACCACACGUCCACACCGGAGCGGAGAUCAUCUGAGUAGCAGUGGUACAAAUUAAAGUGUGAGUUCAGGCCAGGUUUAUUUUCCAAAAAUUUCCAAAAUUCAUUGUCAUAUUUAAUCUUUAGACGCAUGCAUGAAGCAUAAAUAUAGAUGAAGAUAAAAACUAUUACACAGUUUGUCUCUAAUUUGCGAGACGAAUUUUUUUGAGCCUAGUUAGUCUAUAAUAAAACAAAAAUUAUCAAAUAAUAAACGAAAAUACUACAGUCAUCAAAGCUAAAAAAUUUCACGAACUAUAAACAAGGCCUUAAUUAUAUUGUGUUGCACGUAGGGACGAUGGCCUGCCGCACGAAGCAAAGGUUUGUUUCCCAGCCGUACACAUGCACGCCAGGAUGUUUCUCGGCUCUUGAUUUUAACUGGUGCAUGCCCUACCGACUCUCAAGGCUGCUGGCAUCCAAUAUACGCGCGCAUGCAUGCAUGUCGGCACGUACGUACGUACGCCCGUGAUCGUUCGAUCAGCACUCAGCAGCCUCUCUCGACCGACCGAUUGCCUGACUAGCGAUCUAAAGCCAGCUUUCAAUCAGCAACACGCAUGCAUGCACAGCGUACACUAUGCUUGUGCUACUGGCCAGUCGCGUGGUAUAGAUACGGAUUUGGAUGGUCUCGGUUACAAAAUAGUACUAGUACAGUACAAAAUACAGAUAAAAUACAAGGCGAGUCGGAUUGGGACUUGUUUAGAUCAAAAAGUUUUGAAUUUUAGCACUGUAACAUUUUCGUUUUUAUUUGACAAACAUUAUCCAAUCAUAGAGUAACUAGGCUUAAAAGAUUCUUCUCGCGAUUUAUAUGCAAAAUAUGUAAUUAGUUUUUGUUUUCAUCCACAUUAAUGCUUCAUGCAUGUGCCGGCGGAGAAUCUUAAAAAAAUUUUGGUUUUUGGGUGAACUAAACAAGGCCUUGAUCACGAUUUUUUUUUUCAAAUAUUGAGCAAAAGCGGUACUAUAAAGCAUCUCCAGGAGUUUGGUAAAAUAACUCGUAUUUGCAUUUCCUCUAUUGGAGUCAGUCUAAUGUGCUACUUUUUACAUAUAAGAAGUUGAAUAAAAUAUCUGAAAAGAGAUGUUCUUACUCUUAGGGAGUGAGGGGCAACGGUGCACACUAGCUUAGUGCAGCAAGCAACGUCAAGGAAUUCAAGUUGGGUGGCUGCUCUUAUAAUAAAUAACUAUAAAUGUUUGUUUGAUAGUAAUUGUAUCUCUACUAUAAUUGAAAUAUUCUCCAGGCAAAUCCUACCUAUAAAAUCAACGACUCACAACACAUAUUCUACAGAUUAGACGGCCCAGAUUAGAAGUAUAAUCACGACCUUACACACCCUCAGCCUCGCGUCAUCUCACUCAAGCCCACGCUCGUGCGGCUCUCAUGAUCGCAACAACCAGAGUUCGAUCCCUACUCGUUCCUCCUCCCUCCGAAAAAAGAAAAAAAAUGUUGACCUCACGUCGUCCACAAGCGGGAGGCACGGGCGCCGCUCCAAUCUCGGCGCCGUCGACUCUCUCCCUCCUCCACCUCACCACUGCUGGAUCGCUCCUCCGUGAGGCUUGUGCAGGCGCAAGGAACGCAGCGGCGGCCUCCCUGUACCCUCGGGUCACAGCUGCUAUCCUUGGUAGCCAUGGCUUCGUCGCCCAGAUACGGUGCCUUGGUGGCCGGAUCUGGUGUCUCUAAGGUUGGAUCUGCACGGUGCUUUUUCGGUAGGGCGCAACGACAGUAGUGGAGGCGCGAUGGGCCGCAGGCCACCGGUCAGUCUCCAUCGGUGAGCCAAUCAAUUCCAUGAUGUAUUUUCUACUUGCAUCUCAUCCAUCCCCGUUUAGGCUUGCGUAGGCAUGUGACAAUGACAGGUUAUUCAAAACCGAUUCCCUUUGAAUGUUUGGUUUCCUCUGUGAUUUAGUAACUAUAUUUUUUAAUCACGUCAUAACCUAGACACAUCUUUCAUAUAGUAGAUGUUUCUUGUUAAUUAUUUAUCAUCAUAAAUUUAUAUUAUUUAGAUCUAAAGUUCUGUUUUCUGUGCCAUCAAAUAUGUCUCAGUUAUACCUGUGCUAUAUAUCAAAUAUUUAUCUCAACUAUACCUGGUGAGUUAUUAUAGUAUUUUUUUAUUGUAAUAGUAAGAUCCUAGGUUUGAUCCCCACUUUCUUUAUCUCGAUUUCUCUGGAAAAAUAUUAAACACAAAAAUUCAAUUCAUAGCUAUAAAGUAAUUAGUUUUUUUGCACUACCUGGAUUGGGCACAUGAGGUAGGUGACACGGGAAGGAAGGGGUAGUAGAGAUUCUUGUAUGCUUGUUGAAUGAGAGAUUACUUAAUUAUUCAAUAAGAGGAGCUCCUGACGUGCUUGAGGAGGCAAAUCGUUCCAGAACUGAGAAAAUUCAAUCCACAGUCAUAAUGCGACUGGCUCUUUUUUCUUUUUCUUUUUUUUCUGAAGCUGUAACUGGAGUCUCAAUGCCAAUCUAAUGCUUAACACUACUCAAAUAAGAAUUAUGGUUUAUUUCCAAUUGAUAAACAGUCGCUAAAAAAUAAUAUCCAGUAUGCAAGUCCUUACCGGGUGUAGGAGGCUAAGGGCAGUGCCGACGUUUUCAAGGGCGUUUGGAAGAGCAUUAGCUGGUGAGUAAAUCACAACCCAAAUUAUCUCAUGAUUCGAGUUCAUGUCAUUCUGCCCAUAUAUACUUUUGUUGAAAUUCAGUUGAGCAAGAAAUAGGCCAAUAAUUUUUUUUCUUCUCAUGGAAGCGGCUCUAUUCUGCACAUAUGUAUAGGUCCAGAUGUAGAUUCCUAAAACAAUAUGGAGCUUAUUUCAUUACUUUGUUUUUGUAAAAUGCUAUCAGGUUAGAUGAGCACUCAACUAAUUUGUAAAACAAGAUCACAACUAAUUCUAGGAAGAUAUUAGGAAGAAUACAUGUAAUACAAUACUUUUAUAUAUGCAAUUUGAGGAGUGUUGUUACCAAAUUAGUCUCUUGAGAAGAAAAAAAAUUCCUUACUUGAGAUGGCUGAUGAAGAAAGACAAACUCCCAUAUUGGAUUAGAGUAUUAGAUGUAGCCUAUUGCUAAUUUGGUUCUGAUCUCCAAUUGAAUUUCAUUGUCAUCAUACCGUGGAAUUGGAAGCUGACUAAAUGCUCUGUUGUUAAAUUCCCAGGUUUCAUGUAUAGUUAGUGAUGAUGUCAUGAUAUUGAUUUUGGGCACCUGACGUGAGAGCUUUACUAUAAUAGUUUUUGCAAACUUGAAUGUAAUGAGCCUGAUGUCAAAUUCAAGAAAACAUGGCACACUAAGAUGUACUUCCCUCAAGGAAACAGGGCACACUAAAAUGUACUUCCCUCAGGUUCGCAAAGAAUGAUCUAUUUGUUUCUACUAUUCUUUUUUGGGUUAGUGUUUAGCCAUAACGAUCAUGAUACAACAUGUUCUCAGGAGCUUCCAUCGCCUUAGUGGGGAGAAGCACGACAUGGGUGUGAGUGCAUGCACUGGCGCAAGUGAAAUCAAAUUGGAGGAGGUUGCUAUUCUGAAUUACGUCUACACAAAGCUCUUCGACUUCAUCUCAAGGUGGAAUAUGGGUGUUGCUAAAUAAUGUGAAGCCAUGUUUUAUCUUGGAAUUUGACAGAAUAGAAAUUGGCUUUGCUGGUAGUCUCUUCGGAUUGUUUAGCUAAGUGCACAUACCUUAUUGUACGAAUAACAGUCAUUUACUGAUCUACUGACGCUCUUGCCAUGUCGAAGUAUAAAUAAUCUUUAUCAGGUUCAUCAAAUAGUUUUCAUUUCAAAUGUUUCCCUUUUACAACAUAAGUGUUGCUCUCCAUUUGUUUUCAUCAUAAAAAAUAUUAUCAUUUGAAAUAAAACCGUGGCGUUAGCACGGGCACUAUACUAGUAACGUAUAAUAUAUACAUUUAAAUGUUUGUUGGAUAUUUUCUAGGCAUUGAUCGGAUAUUUGACAUGGGAAAUUAAGAUAGCAAUUUUCUGAGCAAAUAAAUGGCUAAACUAUAUUACUUUGUAAUUACUAUAGGAAAAGUUCUCCAUAUAUGUAGGGCCUGUUUAGUUCCCCUUGCUAAAUUUUAGCUACUCUUAGGUGACUAAUAGAACUAAACUAUUUUAGCUUCUUUUAGUUAAUGUGUUUAGAACUUUAGCUACUAAAAUGACUAAAGUUUAGUUACCGAAAAUUUAGCAAGGGGAACGAAACAUGGUUGUAGUAUUUAACAUCAAAGAAACAACAAUCCAAUGUAGGCCUUGUUUAGACGUGAAAUCUUUUUGGAUUUCGCUACUGUAGCACUUUCGUUUGUUUGUGGCAAAUAUUGUCCAAUCAUAGACUAACUAGGGUCAAAAGAUUCGUCUCACAGUUCACAGGUAAACUGUGUAGUUAGUUUUUGUUUUCGUCUAUAUUUAGUACUUCAUGCAUGUGCCACAAAAUUCGAUGUGACGGAGAAUCUUGAAAAUUUUUUGAAUUUCGAUGUGAUCCAAUCAUUUUGCAGUAAUUAAAUGUUUUGCCCAGCCUAGGAAAUGUCAAGAUGAAACUCAUGCAUUGUGGAGGUUGUUUCAUUAUUCGUUUCAUUGAUGCCCCGUCAGCGGAUUUGUUUUGGAAACAGUGCAUUGAAACGGGCUACUAAGACUGGCCUUAUGAAACUAGAGGGGUCAAAGCCCCUACAGGAAACGUACUACAAAUUUAGUUAAAAAAUUGAGCUAGGCCUUGUUUAGUUCCGAAAAGUGAAAAGGUUUCGGUACUGUAGCACUUUCGUUUGUUUGUGACAAAUAUUAUCUAAUCAUGGACUAACUAGGAUCAAAAGAUUCGUCUCGUGAUUUACAGCUAAACUGUAUAAUUAGUUUUUGUUUUCGUCUAUAUUUAAUGUUUCAUGCAUGUGCCACAAGAUUCGAUGUGACGAAGAAUCUUGAAAACUUUUUGGUUGUCAGGAUGAACUAAACAAGGCCCUAGUCGAUUGUUACGGUUCCUAUAGUAGGUUCUUUUUUUGUGGGUGGAGAUCGAGAGGACUAGAGUACGUAAAAGGGAGGCAGGCAUGCGUGCGUGCGUGUGUGACGAAGCCCAAAGCCGCAAAUAAUAAAGCUGGUCGAUCAGCAUCAGCUAGCAGUGAUUGAUCAUCCUGCAUGGCUCGUGUCCUUCCCGAACGUGGAGUCACGCACGCAACAACAGGUAAUCUUUUACGAGGUAAUUUUUUUAGGUAUAUAUACGAAGUAUUAAAUAAAAAUAAAAAUAAAAAUUAAUUAUAUAAUUUAUUUAUAAUUUAUUUUAAACCUAAUUAAUUUAUAAUUAAAUAAUAUUUAUCAAUAUAAAUGAAAAUAUUAUCGUAUCUAAAACUAUAAAAUUUUACCAACCAUGCAUGUAUAGGCUCGGUCCAUAGGAACAGGAACGAAAAGGUUGUCGGCAAAUAAAAGGUGACAUUAUUUUAUUCUUAUGUUUUUCCUAUACCUAACCAAACACAUCAUACAAUAUAAUUCUUUUUUUUUUGAUUCUGAAAAAAACCAGAAGAACCCAAACCGUUUUAACCCAGCCAUAAAUUAUGCCAAACAUCCCUUAAUGAGUAGGUACGUACGUGUGCCCAAUCAAAUGGCUUGUUUGGUGCAGGGCACUGCCAAGUGCGCGCGGGCAUGAAUCGAUUGCUCGCCCGUCCGGCCGGGUCCGGCGGGCAGUCAAAUCAGACCUGCAGGCCUCGCCCGGGAAGACGACUGUGCAUGCAACCAUUGAUGGCGGUAAAAUAUAUCUUGCAUGAUCAUGGCGUCGGGUCUCCUUCGCAGAUGUGGUACUCCUGCAGCAGGCGGUUCGAUCUGCUUGCAUGUUCUGCAUGCAUGCGCGGGACUGUGAUAUUUUUUUUUUCACACCAGUGCUGCAGUGCUUCGAUUCAGCAGCCCAAAAAACUAAAACUUUACAAGAUUCUCCGUCACAUCGAAUCUUAUGGCACAUGCAUGAAGUUACAUUGAAUCUUUACAGCCUAGUUACUCCAUGAUUGGACAAUGUUUGUCAAAUAAAAACAAAAAUGCUACAGUGUCAAAAUACAAAAAAAAUUUUACAUCACCGGGCCUAUUCAGGUCAAGCUACAGUGGCGGCCAGAUGAACUGUAACAUGCUUGCUUGCUGGAGGAAAUUUGAGAGUAACAUAUAUAUAUAUAUAUAUAUAUAUAUAUAUAUAUAUAUAUAUAUAUAUUUAAAUCUUCAAAAGAUAUAUAUAUAUAUAUAUAUAUAUAUAUAUAUAUAUAUAUAUAUAUAUAUAUAUAUCUUUUGAAGAUUUAAAUUUGAUGAGUUAACUAAUAAGUAACAAUCAGACGACGUAACCCCAAAGUAUAUACUAUGGGUCGAGAAUUUCGCCAACCAGCUAGCUAGCACAACCACCGUGUGCAAUGUGCUCGGCAUGCAUGUUCUUCCACAAGCACACAAUUAUUGUUCGUGUCGUGCGUCUCCAAUUCCCAUUCUCCUACCUACAAGUAUAGUAGUACUCCACAAAAGCCGACAUUUUGAUCGAUGACCAAUCGAGACCAUCCAUUUCCUUCCAUUGAUUAAGGCCUUGUUUAGUUCCAAAAUUUUUAGAAAAAUCGACAUUGUAGCACUUUUCUUUGUAUUUGAUAAAUAUUGUCCAAUCAUAGACUAACUAGACUCAAAAGAUUCGUCUCGUCAAUUCCAACCAAACUGUGCAAUUAGUUUUUAUUUUCGUCUAUAUUUAAUACUUAAUGCAUGCGUCUAAAGAUUCGAUGUGACGUGGAAUCUGAAAAAUUUUACAAUUUUUUUUGAACUAAACAAGGCCUAAAAUUAAAAACAAGAGAAUGUUUUUCAUAUGGGUCUUGUUUAGUUCCGAAAAGUGAAAAGAUUUCGGUACAGUAGCACUUUCGUUUGUCUGUGACAAAUAUUAUCCAAUUAUGGACUAACUAAGAUCAAAAGAUUCGUCUCGUGAUUUACAGCUAAAUUGUGUAAUUAAUUUUUGUUUUCGUUUAUAUUUAAUGUUUCAUGCAUGUGCCACAAGAUUCGAUGUGACGGAAAAUCUUGAAAACAAGUCCAUGUUUAUUAUACCGGAAAAAAAAACAAAUCUCCGUCGUCCAACAUGUGCCAUCAUCUUUACUGUCCUCUGUGCGUGCGUGCGUGGUCGCCGCGUCGCGUGGACGAGUAGUAGCUUGGUCAAACUGGCCGGCUCCACAGGUUCGUGCGCAUCUUUGACCGCUUGGACCACAUCGGACGGUCGGCCGGACGGUGUGGCACCUGAGCCUUGUUUAGUUAAAAAAAAUUAUUAAAAUGAACACGGUAGCACUUUUAUUUAUAUUUGAUAAAUAGUGUUCAAUUAUACUAACUAGGUUUAAAAGAUUUCUCUUGUAAAUUAUUAACAAACUAUGUACUCCCUCCGUCUAUGAAAGAAUCAAUUUUUAGAGUUGUCCUAAGUCAAAUUUUUUAAACUUUAACCAAAUUUUUAGAAAAAAAAUGCUAAAAUUUAUUGUACCAAAUUAGUAACAUUAGAUUUAUCGUAUAAUAUUUUUUUAUAUGAUGCACAUUUAAUGUUAUAAAUAUUGUUACUCUUUUCUAUAAAGUUAGUCAAAAACUUAAGUUUGACUCACACGGAUUCUAGAAAUUGAUUCUUUCAUAGACGAAGUGAGUAAAUGGUUAUUUAUUUUAUCUAUAUUUAAUGCUUUAUAUAUGUAUAGCAGGAUUUAAUGUGACAGAAAAUCUGAAAAAUAUUGUAAAAUUUUUCUAGGAACUAAACAAGGCCCGGUCAUAAACCAGAAGAUCAGCUACCGUACCACCAUCCAAUUAGACUGCUCGAAUAAAAGUUUUACAGAAAACACCUACAGUUUUUGCAAAGUACUGCAACACGUAUUUAGGCCUUGGCCUUGUUUAGAUGUGAAAAAGAUUUGGAUUUCGCUACUGUAGCACUUUCGUUUGUUUGUGGUAAAUAUUGUUCAAUCAUAGAGUAACUAAGGUCAAAAGAUUCGUCUCGCGAUUUACAGUCAAGUGUGAUUAGUUUUUAUUUUCGUCUAUAUUUAAUGCUUUGUGACAGGAAAUCUUAAAAACCUUUUGGAUUUCGGGGUGAUCUAAACAAGGUCCUUGUUUAGUUUAUCCAAAAACCAAAAACUUUUCAAGAUUCUUCAUCACAUCAAAUUUUGCAGUACAUGCAUAAAGCAUUAAAUAUAGACAAACAAAAACUAAUUACACACGAGAUGAAUCUUUUGAACCUAGUUAGCCUAUGAUUGGACAAUAUUUGCCAAAUAAAAAUGAAAAUGCUACCAUACCCAAAACCAACAAAUUUUUGGAAAUAAACAAGACCUUACUUUAUUUUUUUGAAGUCCUUAAUACUAGAACUUUUUUUAUUUUUUUCGGGUUUUUUACCCUUUUUUUGACCAUGGUAAUAGUAGUAGUACCUUGCAACAUGGUCGGUGAAUAGCAAUAUUCGUGACAUGUCUCCUGUUGAUACGAUGCCAACAGAACAUGUUACCGUACGUGCCGCCCGCUCUGUGAUCAGACUUUUUUGCGAGAGAAAAAAAAAUAACAAAUCGAUGACUUCUAUUGUGCACUUCCCUAGGAACUCAUGGUGUCACUGCAAACCCUGUCGCCCACAUCUGGGCCUUGUUUUUUUAGUUCCUCACAAAUUUUAUAAAAUUUUUCAGAUUUCUUGUCAUAUUCAAUCUUACAGUACAUGCACAGAACAUUAAAUAUAGAUCAAAUAACUAAUUAUAUAGUUUAUAUAUAAUUUAUGAGGCAAAUAUUUUAAGUCUAUAUGAUUGUACAAUAUUUAUUAAAUACAAACAAAAGUGCUAUAAUUUCUAUUUUGAAAAAAAAAGUUACAACUAAACAAGGCCCUCGACGUGUAAUGUGUGACUGCUGUUGCUCUUAGUACAAAUUUUGUUAUUUUUAAGGGUCUGGCAUCAACUUUAGGGUCAUUCGUUGCUUUGCUCAUAGGGGGGCAUGCAGAGGCAUACAUGUUACAUGUACUGUACAUAGAACCCGUUUCACCAUUUUCAUAGACUAAACCCUCCUUCAGGCUUUCUAUUACCAAAUAAUUAAUCUGGCUACAGCACUUGGUACUGAACACGAAACAUUGCUCAAAACAUUUUGUUUUGACCAACUAGAUUUAUAAUAUAAAGGAGUAAAUUUCAUUGGACUGUACUUAUGACCGUCAAAAUUAUAGCAAAAACACAUUCUACAAUGUUGUACGUAGAACUACAUCUGUUCGCUUAUCUGAUAAGCCAUGGCUGAAAGUACUGUUCGCUAAAAACACUGCUGAAUAGUUGGCAGAUUUGGUAGAUACUUUUGUUACAAAGCUACACACUUUUUAUUAAGAGCUAUAUAUUAGGUUUCUACUUGAUUUUUUUAUAAUAAACUAAGGUCCAAUUUAGAAGCACUCCCAAUCGCUCUUGCACGCGCAUAGCUCCAACUCUGCUUACUCCCUGGUUCGUGAUUCUUUUUUUUCACGAACGGGGUUGAGCCCGUAUUUCAUUAAGACGAAAGGAGUAUACUUUUACAAUCGAUUGUUAGACCCACUACUAGGUUGUUUGCGAGUAGCAAGCGAAACAUUAGCGAGGCUAACAACCCAAAAAAAAACCAGAACUACUAUACAGUGGUUGAUUGUGCGACCAAGCCAACACCAACACCACCAACGGACGUCCAAAAGGAGGCCAGUGCAGAAAAACCCACGUCGAUCCACCGCGCACCUUCCUCAUGGAUACGCUGUGCCACGACCAUCGGAGUGGGUCUGAAGGUCCGCGCGUUUCUCUCCUUCCAUAUCUCCCAGGAAACAAGGAGGACUAGAAAAUCGAACCCUCGCCGUUGUUGCUCUCGAAACUAUAACAUGUGCCUUAGCCACCACUCCACCGGCUUACCAACAUCCAAAUCCACCAAGAUGUGGUGGAGAUUGACGGCUUGCAAGACAUGCAAGACAUGCUACCAUUCAAGCAUUUGGUAGGGACCCUCAAUGGCUCCCGCAGCAUAGAUGAGACUAACGUAGUGGAGACGGGCAUGAUGGAAACUAAUUCGAGAGGAAAGGUUGUAGUGAGACAUGGAUGCGUGGGAGAGGAACACGAUGGAUGUGAGGCACGUGACAUGGCAGAUAGCGUAGGAGGAGGGGCGUGAUGGAGAGGGGCGGUGUGGCUUGUCAGGGCUUCUCCAGUGGGCUUUGAAAACCGACUCAAUGGGCUGAGGUGGCACUCGGUGAGUCGACUCAUGCCCAUUGGAGACCACCGACUCAUAAAAGGUGUCAGGAACCGAUUCAAAAUCUUGAGCCGAUUCAUAGAGAUUAAAAAAGUAUUUGUGAUACAGUGCCUCAACGGCCAACCAGCCAACCACCCAACCGUUACCCAACCCACUAGCCGUUGUUCAUUGCUCUAUAUAUGAAUAUGCACAAGUAGCUCCACAAAAUACACUUGCUCCCUCCCUAUUUCACAAAACACCAGCAGAUAUACAAAUAAACUCUCCUAUCCAUUUGAGAGAACACAAGCAUGGACCCAUCUUCUACUGGUGGCUUCACAAAUUUGUUGAACUCUUCAACCUCAAGCCCAGAAUUCCAAAUACCACAAAGUGGCUACAACCAGCAAUAUCCAAAUUUCCAUCAACAUCAUUUCGACCAUGAUUUUCGACCACCACCAUGUAGACCCAUUCAGCAGCCCCGUUAUCAACAUCAUUUCAAUCCUUUCGGGGCUCAACUGGGAUUUCAACAGUUUCGUGGAACAUCAAGCUACCAUGGUACUCCUUACCAUGAAGGUUUGAUGCAGUUCCAGCAAGGAAGUUUCAGA
rnacentral:lncRNA from 1 species